UUCGUGGAGGAGGCCGUCGGGCUGUGUGUGGGGUUGGCGUGGGGGCCCAGGACGCCCCACCUCGGCACCCGAGCAAAGGGCCCCAGGGAGCUCGGGGCCACUGUCCGGGCUCUCUUUGCCUGGCGACGGCGGCUCCAGGGCACCUCCCAGGGGCUGAGGGCCUUUCCAGCUUCCCUUUAUAUGCAGCACCCCGAAAUAUGCGUUGCUCCUCGCUCUUGCUGCUCCCGAGGAGCCCGUGACUUUCCUUCACGACGUUUGGACUCCCAAGACGGCUUUCUUUCUUUCUUUUUUUGGCAGGACUACUUGCCUCCUUCACUGAGCCUGUCUUCAGGGUUUCUCUUUCCUGUUUGCUGUCUCUUGAUUUAGGGACUCAGGGUAGAAAUUCCUGAUAGGGAAUCCUUUCUUCCUUUCUUGAGACAUGCCCCCCAUUCCCUACACUCACAAUGCUUCUUGAACUGAGGUAACUCAAGCGUCCUCCUUUAUCCCUAAUUCCUUUCUAUAUUAGGAAGAAAGUAGUCUGCUCAGGGCCCUUCUAAUAAAGAGCUGUGUGUUUCAAAUCAGAGAUUCCUGUUAAGCUUUCUGGUUCUUGGAAGAACCUUCCUGUUUUUUACUGACAAAGCCUAACCCACCUAUGGUUGUGUGCGGUGAGGACCCCCAGGCCCUCUAGCCAGCCACCCUCCAUAUUGUGGAUCUGACAGCUGGGAGAAAGAGAAAGAAGAGCUCCCCACUCUCCUGUACUGUCCACCAAGCAGAACCCUCUCUGUGAGGGUAAGCUGCCGGGGUACUGGUCGCUGUGAUCUUGCCAAGUGACACCCUUUAUUUCCUGCCACCCCCUCAACUUUGUACAUUCGAGGUUGCAGUGGGAAAGCUAUAACUGAUAAGAGCCCUUAAGGCAGUGGUUUUGGUUGGAAUCCAGACUGAUUAUUUCAUGGCCAGCUGGAGAAAUUCGCGAAGGUUCCCGAGACAAAUCGAGGAAUUUUUUUUGGAGGGCUAAUUUAGAAAGAGAGAAGCCCAGUGUUCUGAAUAGCUAAUCCCUAGGGAGGGGAGGGGGAAGGGAGUAGGGGGACGGUAGUGUGUGAAAGGCAGUUAAAAAGUCCUGUCUCCUGUUUCUUUCGGCCUCACCCCCAUCCCCCCACCAUUUCCCCCUGUUGCAGGGUUUUGUUUAUAUAACUCAAGUUGUUUGGCUAGAUUUUUCAGGUGAAUAUGUUUUUUCCUUUUUUUUGUUACUGUUUUUGAUGGAUUGUUUUACUUUUUUGUAGGCAUCGAUUAGUAUGAUCAAGUACGGAAUUUGCUAGAGUUUUUAAAAAGUAGUUUUUGCAUAUGGUUUGAAAGUGGGGGAUGGGAGGGAAGGUGCCUGAAUGAGAGAUUUUUUUUUUUCAUAAUCUUUUCAGGAAUACCAAGGUGUUUUUCUUCUUAUUCAGCCAAUACUUGGCUAGGAAUUAGGGAUAAUAGAUAAACUUCUAAAUUUAGGGUUUGGAGUUUAGAAUUUCUAGGGGAUAGUGGCAGGGAUUAGAGGAGAGCAAGAAUAAAGUAUGUGUACCAAAUGUAUGUCUAUGCACAAGUGAAAUCAAUCUUUAUGAGCUGUUUGUGGCUGUGAUUGUUUUGUAAAUGUGUGAAAGAUGUCAAUAAUGUUGAUUUUUUUAUAAGGAAAACUUAUAAAUAUGUAUAUUUUACACAAAGCAGUUUCAGGUUUUAUUUUUGUUUAGAAACUAGGAAAUGACAUCGUGGUAGACUCUUGAGUUAUUUUUGUCUUGGAUUGAGAGUUACUGUCACACCUAAUGCAAAUUUCUACUUAAUGUGUAAUUGGGAUAGAGUGAAGGGAGAAUUCCAGCUGUUUUUGAUUGAUGUCAGAUCUUCCAAUUAUGUACAUAUACAGAUUUCUAAAAGAUGGAGGAUAAAGAGUGAGGCCUAACUUGACCUGAUGCCUUUUCCAUACAGUGCCUUUUGUUCAUUUAGUAGUUGUGGCAUCUAGAAUGAUUACCGCAUUUAGGAGAUGGGGGUGGGGGGUGGAGAGAGAGAGAGGAAAACAGACAAAGAACAGCAGGGUGUCUUUUUUUCCCUCCCCCUAAGUGGCUUAUUUCAUAGCUUAUUUUUAGUAGAAGAUGAAGAAAGGCAAAGAUCCAUUGGCCUUCUGUUCGUUCCCUACCUUCCUUCUUGCUGACAAAAGAAAACAGAGACGCUUUAAAAUUGUAGAUCUCUAAGAUAGGAGGUUAAGAGUUUCAGGAUUUAAGACAGGUUAUCUUUUUUCAUGUUUAUUAUUUCCUGGUCAGAUGUAGUUCAGCAGUUAAAAAUUUUCAGAUUUCCUUUUGUUGUGUGUGUAUGUGUUGUGUCGUGGGGAUGAGAGAUUUUUGUGGCCUCCUUUUUCUGUGGAAUUCAUAUCAGGAGGCCCAAGUGGGGCCCACACAUUUUAAGUGAGGUAUAUUUUGUAAGAAAUUUAAGAGAAAAUUCCCUAACCCACUACUAGAAUGAGUACAAUUGUGUGAAAGGACCGAGGGUUGAAAAUGAAAGAUGGUGGAGAGGAAGUAGAAAGGAAGGUCUGAAGGAAUGUACAGUACUUCUUGUCCCUCGUUGCCCCUGAUGAUUUUCGUGGUGUGGAGGCUGAUAGCCGGUUUCAUUGCAGUCUCCUGUUUCAGCCCAUUUUUGGCUGUCUCCUGAGUAUAAUUAUACCACCACGAUUUACAGCUUGGCAGGGAACCCAUAUAGUAGGAAAGUAGCGGUGUGGGGGUAGGGAGAGAAGAGGAUGUGCAACUAAUUGGCCACUGCCUUCCACCACCUUGCUAGGUUCCUCCCAGCACUGUCUGUGGUUGUUGUUUGGAGUCAGUGAUAUUUCUUUUGUGACCGGUUGGUAGGAGGAGAGCUGACUCCCAAGUUAUGCAGGGAGUGAGUGUUUUGCACUGAUGCACUUAAUAAUCUGCUGGGCGAUUAUGUUCUGAAACUGUGACUCACUCAUUGUUUCUCUUCUAAAUCUUCUGUUGAGGGUUGUGCAAACCUCCCCAGGAGCCUAGAAACUGAUUUACAUGACUUUUGGGUGCUGUAGGAAUGUGUCCCAAUUUAAAAAAACCCCAAAACAAACACUGUGGAAUAGUCUUGGAUAGUGUGGCCAUUUGUUUGCAGAGUCAGGUAAAUGGUGAUCCUGUGUCGCUCCCAGCACAGCAACCUUUGAGGUUUCCAUCUCUAACCCGCUGAUUAUUGAGAUUGUCUGAGAACUGGGACUCCAGUGACCUUAAAGCGUGAUUUGCCCUAAAGGAAUAUCGGUUUAAGUUCUUCCCAGUGGAGGAACAAACAGCUCAGAUUACACAGGUUCCCUUGGUGGGGGUUGCUAGUCUCACCCUGUUGCACAGCCCUGGUGAUCCUUUUAUCUGUGAACCAGUGGCCCCUGCUGAAGGCUAGAGCUGCUUGUUUUGGAAAAGCGUAAGCAGGCAAAAGGCCGCAGGCACAGCUCCUUGCAGCUCAUUGGCUGCUCUGUUACUACCCGGAAAAGGAGGAGGGGUGGAGCUACUAAACAGCUGAUAGAGUGUGUGACAAGAGUGUGUUUACAUAUAAAAGAAGUAGGGGUUGGGGAGGCCUAGAGAACAGCAUUAAUGGACUCAGUGGAGAAAGAAAAACUUGACCUGUUGGAGUACAAUAAAUGGUGAAGGAAAUUAAGGUUAAAGUAGAAAAAGGGGUCUGGUAAUAAUGGGGCCUUGGCAUAUAUACCGUAUUUGUUAUUGUAAGAUUUGGAAAUUUACAAUACCAAGAGUUUUCAGCAAUUUUUAGAGGGAGGGAGCAAGUGGAAGAACAAGACAGGAUAUGUCACUUUAAUUGUACUUGACUGACUCAUAAGCAGGGAUUCAAAAGUAUGGUUAAAAUGUAAGCUUUCCUCUUGAAAGCUUCCACAGUGAAAGAAAGGGGUAGUGUCUUCCAUUCACUAGCAAUAUGAGUGAAUCUUAUAAAAUCACUGGUGGCUGCUUUACAGUUUCUGUUUGGUACUGGGGAUUCAACCCAGGGCCUUCAUGCUGAGCUACAUCUCAGCCCUUUUUAAUUUAUUUUUAUUUUUUAUUUUGAGGCAGAGUCCCACUGAGACGCCAGGAUGCUGAGGCUGGGCUCAAACUUGGAAUCCCUCAAACUUGGAAUCCCAGAGGGCUAGAAUUAACAAGCAUGUGUUACCAUGCCUGGCCAUGGUUUCUUUUUUUUUUAAUCAGUACCAAGGAUCAAACUCACGACUGCCUGCUGCAAGGCAGGUGCUUAUGCCACUGAGCUAAAUCCUCAGCCCCUGGCCAUGGUUUCUAUAACAUAGUGACUGCCUCAAAUAUUUGAUCACCUUCUGGCAAGGCACUGUAUUGGGGGUCUAGUGGUGAAUUCAAUGUCCUGAUAAUUGUGGAAUUAGACCAACAACAACAAACAUAGGAGACUUGAGACAGGAUCUCCCCAUGUGACCCAGGGUGGACUUGGAACAACUGAACAAAUUUUUCUUUUUAAUCAGGAAAGCCAUUCUGUGUUGUGUCAGAUCAGCACUCUGUCCACCACCCUCCUUUUUUGAGUAGUUUGUAUUUGUGUUGAGAAUUGACUUUUCAAUAAAUGAAAGCUUAGAGGUUUGGCAUGUAGCUCAGUACUAAAUUGCUUGGUAGCCAUCCUCAAGGCCUUGGGUUUAGUUUCCAGUCUACACAUGCAUGCUCACAUGCACGUAUAUAAGAAAAAGGUUGAAAAGUGAUGGGAAAGGAAUUUGUAUUUCUUUUAUUUAAAAUAACAGAUAUUAAGUAUGCUGGCACACACCUGUAAAUCCCAGGACUCCCAGCACAUGGGAGGUUGAGGAAUGAGGAGGAUGCUGAAGCAGGAGAAAGAUACUGAGACAGGAGGAUUAGCAAGAGUCCAAGGCUGGUCUAGGCUAAAUAGUUCAAGGCUAGCUGAACUCCAUAGUGAGACCAUAUUUGGAAAACAGACUGUGGUGCAUGCCUGUAAUCCUAGCACUUAGGAGACUGAAACAAGAAGAUCACUGCAAAUUCAAGGCCAGCCUGAACUAUAAAACAAUACUGUCUCAAAAACAAAAUAAGAAAAACCCAGAAACACAAAAUAGGUGCUUAAAAAAUGGAAACAAAAACAUUAAAAUGUAUAGACAUUUGUUUUCGAUUCAGCCUUUAUAUUUUGCUGUUUUUUUCAGGGUUUUGCUAGGUCAAGUUAGUCUUGAAACUGUGUAGCCCAGGCUGAGGCAGUCCUGUAUGCUGGGAUUAUGGCAUGUACCUCUCAGCUGGUAUCUUGCAGUUAAUCAGUAGUUAUUCUAUGCCUGAGUUAGUAGGCUUUGUUACUCUUUAAUUCAUGUUCAAAGUAUGGACAAUUCUGUAAUCUUUUAACUAGCUCCAAUGUCUACUAGAAACCUGUAGUUUGCAUUUUAUUUCCUGUGGCCUUUCAGUGAGAUGGUAAGAUGAACAUUGAAACAGUUUUAUGAUGUUCAAACUAAAAGUUAAAGAUUGGACAACUUUCAGUGUUCCUAAUUUGCCUUGUCCACCUAGAUUUUGGUGAAAAAUAUACCGGUACUUAUUUUGAUUAGAUAAGAACCUGAAUGAGCAAAGCAUUCACAGCUUCAGCACAUCUGAUUCGUGCAGUGCAGUUCUAAUAAAUUACAAGCCUAAAGAUUAAGCUUUUAGGGGAAAACUUUUGUAAAUGUGACCUAUAAAUGUCUCUUUUCCUAAUUGUGUGCAUGUGUUGAAAGAACCUACAUUUGUUGGUUUUUCUUUUCUUUUUUUUGGUACGGGGAAUCACAACUUUGUGGUACGAGGCAGAUGCUGUGCCACUGAGUUGUCUCCCCAGACCAAGUUUUAUGGUGAUACAGUUUUCCUAGCAUCUUGACUGGUAUGUAUGUAUAUGUGUAUUUAUUUUUUAAAUUAAAUUUGGCAUCUUGUUCAGUGUCAGCAUAUUUGAUGAUUCUAAGAACCACUGGAUUUUUUACGUAUGUGUUAUGUUUUGUUUCUAGAUGUCCCCCAAAGUCUCAUUUGGUCAUAGGUGAGGCUUUUUCAGAGGUGGCUGAAUUUAGAGUCUGUGGAAUUAAGGGUGGGUGAUUACUAAAUCAGUCCACUGAUUGUUUUUACAUCACCCUAAACCUGGUAGUCUAGAUAAAAUAUGAAAAGGGCAGAAACAAGCUGCUGAGGUCCCUUGCUUGCUUUGCCACCUUCUACUCACCAUAAACUGUUUCUCCUCUGUAAUGUUUAUGUGCUACACCACCCUGCCUUGGAGCCAGCAAACUAUGGAUUGAAACCUAUACAAACUUUGAGCCAAAUAAACCUUUCUUCCUUUAUCUUUGGGUGUAGGGUAUUUUGUCUUAGUAAAGAGAAAAGUAACUACAAAAGCAUGCAAUUCAGAUCUUAUAUUACAGUGCUUACAAUGUAAUAGCUUUCUACCUUGGAUGCAUAGAGUGUAUGUCCUAAAAUUAUUUAAUGAAAAGACUUAGUUGCACUGUAAAAGUAAUAAGGUAAUUAAGAAAAAUAGAGGUUGCAAAGAGGGAAAAAUAAUAGUCAUCUAUAAUCCUACCCUUUAAACAGUAGUUCUUAAACUUUAGUGACCUUAAUUACUUGAAGGGUUUGUUAAUACAGAGCACUGUAUAUCACUAGAGUUUUCUGAUUCAGUAGGUUUAGAGUAGGGUUGGAAAAUUUGGCUCUCAUGUGCCACCACAUCAGGUGUGUGUUCAUUUUUUUGAGAUAGGAUCUCACUGUGUCAUUCAGGCUACUCACUAAGUAGCCCAGGUUGCCCUUGAAUUCCUGGUGACCUUCCAGCCUCAGUCCCCUGAAUGUGGAGAUUACAGGCAUUACCAGCUGAUUUGUCUUUUUUUUUUUUUUUGUCUUUUUGAGACAGGGUUUCACUAUGCAAUUCAGGCUGGCCUUGAACUCACUUUGUAGCCCAGGGUGGCCUUGAACUCCCAGUGAUACUCCUGCCUCAACCUUAUGAGUGGUGAUAUUACAGACAAGGUGUCACUGGGUAGCCCAGGCUGGCCUUGAACUCAGUGGUGAUGACAGGCAUGUGCCACCACACCUGGCCCCACACAUCUUCGGACAGAAAAUGUGCCUGGAUCCUUCACAGUAUUUUAUGUUCAAGCUGAAUUAAAAGCAAUAGGACAGCCAACACAUUUUUUCUUAAGAGUUUGAAAAGUAUGCUUGAUCUGUUAUAUUUAGUACAGUUUGGCAAUUAACAGCAAAUUUGAACUUGCUUAAGCUUAAAAAAAAAAAAAAAUAUAUAUAUAUAUAUAUAUAUAUAUAGUAGUUUAUUACUUUUGAUAUUUAUCUUUUCAAUGUGAAAACAGCAUGUGAAUGAAGCCUUAAAUUCCACUUGAACUAUGUCCAUGAAUUCAGACAUAGUGGAACUUGGUACCUGAAUUAUAUGUUGAUAUUCCUUAGAGGUCCUCAGCUUCAUUUGCUGCUGAAGAAUUUCUUGUUUCUAAAUUAGUUUUAUAGAGUCUGUGAGAUUUAGAGGCUACCAGCUCUGUUCUUUUAGUCUUUAAAGUCGGAAACCUCGAGGUCUCCGUCACCUGAGUUCCUUCUCACCCUUCUAGGCAAAGUGGAAGGAAAUAACCUCCUGUUCCUAAUAGAGCUAAUUCCUGGACUUAAGUUUUAACCCUUUUGCACCUUAUAAUUGAAAAAUGGCUUAUGAAAUACUUUGUCUACUUGUGUUUAUGUUCUUUUCAGCUGUGUUGAGGAGUGACCUCAGGCCUUGCUCUGUGCUAGGCAGUCUGCCACUGAGAUAUUCCUAGCUGUUAUUCUUCCUUUUUUUGGUGACCUUGUGUAUGUACUUAAAGCUGUUGAACUGGGUUAUUUUUUUGUUUUGUUUUGUCUUUUGUUUUGAGAAAGGGUCUUGCCAUUUCAGGCUGGCCUUGAAUUUACUAUGUAGUCUAAGUUGGCCUUAAACUCUGCAGCAGUCCUCCUGUCUCAGCCUCCCAAGUGCUGAGAUUAUAGGUAAGUGCUGGGAUUACAGACAUGUGCCACCAGUGGCUGGAUUAAUUUAAUUGAUACACAGGUCUUUCAGUUUAAUGAGAAAUAGAAUCUGUUUUAUAUAGUCAGAAAUUAGUAUAUGACUUUAUGCUUUUAAAUAUUAAUUAAUUAUUUAUUGCUUUUUGCAGUAGGGUUCACUGUGGAAUUCAGGCUGGCCUUCAACUCAUUUUGUAGCUCAGUGACCUGGAACUCAACAGCAGUCUUCCUUUUUUUUUUUUUUUUCUGGUACUGGGGAUCGAACUCACGACCUUGAGUUUGUAAGGCAGGCGCUUAUGCCAUUGAGCCAAAUCCCUGGCCCACAGCAAUCCUUGUACCUCAGCCUCCUGAGUGCUGAGAUUACAGACAUCACCAUGUCUGGUGAUUUGUAUGCUUUUAAAUUGGAGACCUACUACUCAUUUGAAUGAAUGGCAUAAAAUGUAAUGAUUUUAGUCUGCUGGUUCUGGCUGUUUUAUUUCUUAAAUGUCAUUCUUAAAAUGUUUUGUCAGCUCUGAUGUUCUGAUGACAUCUCAUUUAGAGUUAAAUUUUAGUAGGUCUUAUGCUCAUGUAGAUUUUAGCGUGUUUUUAUACUUGUAAGAAGCCUGGGCUGCCGAUAAUAGUAUCACAAUACAGUGGUUGCUUUCUGAGUAUAAAGGCUUUUAGAGUGGAAGUUAAUGAUUAUAUUCUCCAUAGGCUCUAUUACUUUGACUUUUAGUAGCAGUUAGAAACUGUAAUGCUUGGCUUUACUGGGUCAGAUUAGGAGAAUAAGCUCUAGUAACUUCAUUUUUAUUGAUAAAAAAAUAGAGGUCGGGGCUGGGGAUUUAGCUUAGUGGCAUAAGCACCUGACUUGCAAGCAGGCAGUUGUGAGUUUGAUCCCUGGUACCGAUAAAAAAGAAAAAGACAAAAAAAAAAAAAAAAAAUAGAGGUCAAGGUUAAAAUUAGUCUACUCAUUAUAUAUGACUAAAAUUAGUUUUAUGAGUUAGGCCAUUUUUGUGAAAACUAGAAUUAAAACAUGACCUAAUAAUGCCUUAAUCAUAUUUGAAUAUCAGAUGAUAAGGAAAAUUAUGUAGUUUUGAUAUGAUAUGUUUUAGAAUAUGUUUUCAAUAAAUUAGGUGAUGUAUUGAAUUGUAUUUUUUGGUUUUUCUUUUUCUUUUUUUUUGUCUUUUUCCUUUUUUAUCGGUACCAGGGAUUGAACUCACGACUGCCUGCUUGCAAGGCAGGUCCUUAUGCCGCUGAGCUAAAUCCCCAGUCCCCUUUCUUUCUUUUUUUGAGACAGGGUCUUGCUAUAUAGUCCCAGCUGCCUUUGAAUUUGUAGUUGUAGUCCUUCUGUCUUAGCUUCCUGAGUGCUGGGACUACAGGUGUGUGCCGCCACCCUGGGCCUUAGUUGCAUCUUUUUUUUUUUUAACUAGGAAGUGAACUCAGGGCCUUGCACUUGCUAGGCAGGCCUCUUGUGCCACUGAACUAUCUCCUUAGCUGUUUAGUUGCAUCUUUAGUGUUGUUUGAACGCUUGUCUAUAGUGAGCCAGCUUUGGUUUUGUUAAGGUAAUUUUAAUUUAGUCUUAAGAUGGUUAAGCAUAUAUUAAAAAGUUGCUCUUUUAAAAGUUGGAAUGGGAAUGGAUAAAAAAGGUAUGGUAUUUUUAUACAAUGGAGUACUACUCAUCUAUAAAGAAUGAUCACAUUGAGAUAUUUCUAAGUAAGUGUAUGCAACUUGAGACCAUACUUAUAAGUGAAAUAAAUAAAACUCACAUGAGUAAAUACCAUUGUCUUCCUAUUAUAAGAAAUGGUAAGAGUACAUACGAUACAAAAUCCUCAAUAAAUACAGUGAAAGCAUAAGAGUCUGCUCAAAGGGGGAAAAAAUAAUAUCUCAGGGAAAAGGAAAAAGAGAAAGGGAAAAGAAAAAAAAGUACAUUUAUAUAAACACACUUAGGAUAGCCAAGAUGAUUGUGCCACAAAUUCUAUAUAAGAUGAUAGAACAAAGCAGUUAAUAUUCAUAGGAUUGGAAUAAUUUUGCAUGUUUGUGUCUAGUGACCUUAGGAGCUCUUGAAGAUCACACUGUAAAAUAACUAUCUUAGUUAUAUUCCUACCAUCUUGUUUUGAAGGCCUGUGUCAUCAUUGCUCUAUUUAUUUAUGUGUCUUUUUUGUUUCUUAUUUUUCUAGUAAUCUGGUUUUUGUUUUGUUUUUCCCUCUAAUGUAGAAAGGAUAGAUAUACAUGUAUUGGCUUAUAUGUGUGUAGAACAUCUCCUAAACAGUUUAUGAGAAUUGAUUGUUAUGUGUGAUGCAAUGAACAGCUACUUUGAAGAAAAACAUACAUGGUAUCCAUUGCUGAUUCCAUAUUGUUAUGCUGUGAAAUCUGUUUCAGUAACGCUUCUGUUCUUUGUUCAGAGUGGUUUUAGUCUGUUCUGUAUUGUUUAAUUUCAACAUACAUGACGGUGUGGCAGGUCUUUUGAAGAGAGCAAGAGACAUUAUGGCAGCCAUUGUUAAUUUUCCUAUUGUCUGGUUUUCAAGGCCUGUAAUGCCUUCAUUUCUCUGUUCUGAUCAGUUUUAUACUAUUUUGUUCCUGUACUUCAGCCAGUUUCAUUUACCUAUUUUAUGACUGUGAUACAUUUGUCAAAACUAAGAAACCAACAUUAGCCUGUUAGUGUAAACUCCAGCCUCUUAAGAUUUCACCUGUUUUUUUCAUGCCACAUGUAUUCUGUUCUAGAAUUAAAUUCAUGAUUCUACCUUGCUUUUAGUUAUCCUGUUUCCUUAGUCUUCUCCAGUCUGCAAUGGUGUCUCGUUCUUGUCUUAUAUGACCUUGAUAUAUUUUGAAAUACUAGUCAGACACUUUAAGCCCAUUGAUUUUGUGUGUCCUCCCCAUCCCUUCUCCUUUCCCCCUCCCCUCCCCAUCCCCUCCUUUUUACAAGGAGGAGAAAUUUGUUUUUGCUUAUUCACAGUCUUGUCUUACAUGACCUUGACAUAUUUUGAAAUACUGGUCGGAUACUUUCUGCCCAUUCCUUGUAUUCCUUUUGUCUUGUCUUCCCCUGCCCUCUCCUCCUCUCCCCCUCCGUCUUCAAAGGAGGAGAGGUUUGUUUUUACUUUUUCAGGGUUUUCUGAUUGCCCUACCCCCUUCAUGAUUAGAUCUCAUAAUAAUGAGGUGAAGAUUUUACAUACUGCAUUGUAGAAUUUGGGGGAGGCUAACAUAUGAAGUACCCCUCUUGGCCUCAUUUCAACAAGUUCCCAAUAUCCAUUGGUGUUACUGACCUUGAGAGUUUGCUAGUUUUCUUCGUUGUACAGUUACUGUUUUCCCUUCUGAACUCUGCUCACUGGCAGCGCAUCACUUAAGACUAGCCCACAUUCCAAGGGACCAGUGGCAAGUCAGCUCCCCUCUUAGAGAGGAAGUAAUUUUAAAAUUAAUUUUACUGAUACAUGGAAACAAAUUGUGCAGAUUAAUGGAGAAAGAUGUUUCACUACACUAUAAUGUCUAGACUGUGUAAUGUUUAAAUUAGGUUAAAUAUAUGUUUCUUCAAAUAUCUAUCAUUUAAUGUAGGAUGAAAACAUUCAAAAUCCUUUCUUCUGGCUUUUUGAAAUGCAUAGUACUCUAUUGUUAUCUGUAGUCACUUUGUCAGGCAGUAGCACAACCAGAAUUUCCCUUCCCUAAUUUAGUCUCCAUGAAUCAAAAUUUUCUCCUUUCUCCUCCUCAUGGAUAAAGUGUGUGUGUGUGUGUGUGUGUGUGUGUCUCUGUCUGUCUCUGGGACAGGGUCUCAGUAAGUCCAGGGUCUCAGUAGUCUAGGCUGUCUUGGAAGCAGUAGUGUAAUUCAGGCUGACCUUAAGCUUGCAAUUCUCCUGCCUCAGCUUUCCAAGUGCUGAAUUACCCCAUGGUCAACUAGAUAAUUGGUUUUGACUUUUGAUUAUAACUUACCAGUGGAUUACUUUUAGUCACUAGUGGCUUUUAUACAGAAGUUACAUUUGAUUGUGAAUGAAGUGCAAAUUGAUACAGCUUUUUUGAAAGGAAAUGUGGUAUAAAUGAUGUGAUUUUUUAAAAUUUAAAAAUAAAGGCGAGUAAGCUAAAAGGACAUAACACAGGUCAGAACUGAACAAUUUAAGCAACAUAGUGUUUCACCACAAGAUAACCUGACAUAACAGUAGUUACAUUAGUGUCUCUUUCCUUGAAAUAUUUGAGUAUACCUUCAUAUACUAUAGCAUCAAAUAUAACAAGAUAGUGUAAAACCAUUCAAGAGGAUGAAAGUAUUACAGGAUAUUUAGAACCAACUAACAGAAAAUGAACAAUGGUUUCUAUAUUAUCUCGUCUAUAAAAAAAUUUUGUUUAUAUCACAUAUAAUAUCCACUAAGAUACAACAUGGUAAAACCGAUGGAGACAGAAGAACAAAAGCUUGAUGGGACUUCAAAACAAGCUGAUAUUGGGGCUGGGGAUUUAGCUCAGUGGCAUAAGCACCUGCCUUGCAAGCAGGCAGUCAUGAGUUCCAUCCCUGGUACCGAUAAAAAGGAAAAAAGACAAAACAAAACAAGCUGAUAUUAAAUCAGCACUAGCUAUUAUAAUGUCUUGUUUUCUUCCAAGUAACUGUUCAUACCAUCACAAACAGUAAAAUCAGACAAUGCAGAAUAAAAUUGUUCCAAUUAAUGAAUGAAAACAUUAUAAGGCUUCAAAACAAUAUAAUAGGGAAUCAUGAUUACCACAUACUUUUAUGUAUUCUUAGCAUUUCUUGCACUAGGAAAGCUAUUCGGUAUUUAUACUUGUGAGUUUGAUUUAUUUCGCUUAUGAGUAUGGUCUCAAGCUGUGCCCAUUUAUUUAUAAAUACCUCAAUGUUAUCAUUCUUUAUAGCUGAGUAGUACUCCAUUGUAUAAAAAUAGCACAACUUUUUUAUCCGUUCCUCAGUUGAUGGACACUUAGGUUGUUUCCAAGAUGAGGGUGUGAUUUAAGAGCACAAUUUAGGGGAAUAGCAUGACCAAUUUGAUUUACACAUUUGUCUGUGUUUAGACAUGUAGUACGUGGAGAUGGAUACAGAUUUAGAAUGAGUUGCAGAGGUUAUUAGUUAGUUCCCUCAUAACUCAAAGAUUUAUAUAGUAAUCUGGAAGAGUUAUAGACCAGACAGAGACUUGGGGGUGGUAUAGUGAUAAAUGCUGUUACGUUCUGUGUAUCUUACUAUUUUUAGUUAUAUAAUCAUCUUUUAGUAGAGCAGAAUAUAUUCUUAUCAGUUACUGAUUCUAAUGAAGGCUCAUUAUUUUUGCGCACAGAACUUGAUUCUCUUAUAAGAGUAUACUUUUAGCUGGGCAUCAUGGUGUACAUACACCUGGCCUGUAAUCUCAAUGCUCAGGUGGCUGAGUUCAAGACUAGCCUGUACUAUAUAGAGAGAGACCCUGUCUCAAAAAAUCUCACCCCCCCAAAAUGUAUUUUCCACUGUUUUGAUCUUUUUUUUUUUUUUUUUUUUUUAAAGCAGUUGUACUUGUAUUUUAAGUGAAAAUGUUGAUUUAAAUGGUAACUGGUAGUUUUAGCUAGAAGUUCAGUCAUUAUGUGUGAGAUUGGCUAGGUAGAACUUCAAUUAAAAAAUUUAUUUUUAUAUUUUAUUCUUUCAAUUUUCUUUUUCUUUUUUUGGGUAGGAUGUUGGUGUGUUGCCCAGGCUGCAUGUAAUGCCUAAGCUAAAGUCAUCUUUUUGUCUUAGCUUUUUUUUUUUUUUUGCCUCAGCUUUUGGAGUACCUGCAGCAAUAGGUGUGUACCACAAUGCCAGUUUAGUGUACUUUUUCUUUUUCUUUUUUUGUCUUUUUGCAACAGGGUCUGUCUAUGCAGUUUAGGCUGGCCUUGAGCUCACUUUGUAGCCUAGGCUGGUCUCAAGCUUGAAAUGAUCCUCCUGCCUCAGCCUCCCGAGUGCUGGGAUUACAGGUGUGAAUCAUCACGCCCAGCUAGUGUAUGUUUUCUUAACUCCAGAAUUUUCUAGGCAGUCAAAAUUACUCAUUUUAAUAAGAAAAUGUAUAAAAUGUUUGCUGGGUUUUUUUUUUUUUUUUUUUUUUUUUUAUCGGUACCAGGGAUCGAACUCCCAACCACACGCUUGCAAAGCAGGCGCUUAUGCUGCUGAACUGAAUCCCCAGCCCAUGUUUGCUGUAUUUUUAUUUUUGUUGUUUUUUCCCCAUUUUCUCCUUUCUAGAAACAAUUUUUUUGAGACAGGGUCUCGCCAUGUAGUGUAUCUCGCUUUGGCCUAAACUUGUGGCAGUUUUCCUGCCUCAGCCUCUAAAGGGUUGAGAUUACAAGUAUAUAGUACCAUACUUGGCCUGAUUUUCUUAUAUGAGCAGAAUCUUAAAGUAACUAGAGUGGAGUCAUUUCUGUUUUCCUUUUUAUUUUACGGAACUGGGGACUAAACCCAGGGGCCUCGUGUUUCCUAGGAAAGCAGUCCACCACUGAGCUGCAUCCUUAUCACAUUUUAUUUUAUUUUGACACAAGGUUUGGCUAGGUUGUCCAGGUGGGACUUGAAUUUGCAAUCCUUCUGCCUGUUUCCCAAGUAACUUGAAUUUAUAGUUAUGUACCACCAGGCCUGGCCAGAGUCUCUUGUUUUCUGGAGCAGAGUAUAUUUUAGUAGGUACUAUUAGGUAAGUGAAGUUACUGGAAAAAUAUAAUGAGAUAUUAAAUUUAGUCAAACCUAUUUGGUUUGGUUGCUAAAAAGCUAAGUCAAAGUCUCUCUCAGUCUCAGUCUCUCUUUUAGUGACUCCUUUGAGACAGGGUCUUUCUUUGUAGAUCACGCUGGCCUUGAACUCACUUACGUAGCCCAAACUGACCUGGAAUUUAAGGUAAUCCUGCUGCCUCAGCCUCUCAAGUGCUGGGAUUACAAGCAUGUGCCACUAUAUGUGCCACUAUGCCUGGCUCAAAGUACUUACCUGUUUUUUUUUUUUUUUUUUUUGUCUUUUUGAGACAGUGUUUCACUGUGCAGUUCAGGCCAGCCUUGCACCCAGGCAGGCCUUGAACUCACAGUGAUCCGAGUGCGGGGAUUAUAGGCAAGCACCACCACACCUGUCUAGUACUUACUUCUUAAAGAUUGGAAAUUGAAUUUAUUUUCAGGGGUGGGAGUGGAAUGUUAAUGAUAACAGUAUGGCUAUUGUGGCAAUAAACUCUAAUUUGAUACAAUAAAGGACAAUAAGAUUUUAUUCACAACCGGGCAUAAAAAAAUUAUUCAUUAGGACACCUGUGUUUCUGUGUAGUCUAUAAGUUAGAAGUGUAUAUAACCAGCUGUUUAUUGAUUUAGAAGUUCUGAGGGUGCAUUUUUGCACCUCUGGGUUUAAACAGUACAGCACUUGGAUGUCAUAAAAAUGCUAAGUGUCGAUUGUGUGACUUUCAAGACCAUUUUAACAGGCGUGGUAACUGGGAAAGCAUUUAGCUGAUUCUCUGAUGCUGUUCCUUCCUUUGCCCUUUUGGGCCAGUUUCAGUGAACAGAGGUAGAACUCUCAAAAAGCAGUGUUAACUUUUAAAAUAAAAUCAUUUUUAUACAUAAGAAUAUAGUUUUAAAGUUAAUAUUUUUAUUAGUACAUGCUUGCAGUACAUGAUUACAUUCAUUGUGUGGAGCUGGUACAUGUAGGUAAUAUCUGAAUUAUUUUUACAUCCCCUCACCUCCCUUCCUCUUUAUCACUUGGUGCCUUUCCAUUUCCCUGUUCCCUGUUAGCUAUCUUUUAUUUUGCUUGUUAAAUUAUUUGUACUUGGGGUUUUUUGUGUAAGAGAAACUAUGUAGUAUUUAAGCGUAGUAUUUAUGUGUCUUUUUCACCUAACAUUAUGGUCUUAAGGUGCAUCUUUUUUCCUACAAAUGAUUCAAAGUUAUCCGUCUUUAUGACAGAGUAGUACUUCAUUGUUUAAAUACCACAUUUUCCUAUUCUGUUCAUCUGUUGAUGGACAUAUAGGCUGUAGAUUUAGCUGUUUUGAGUUGUGCUGCUAUAAACAUAGAUAUUCAUGUAUCACUGAAACAUGAUGUCCUUAACUCUUGGGAGGAUACUGUACCUAGAAGAAAAUAGCUGGGUCAAAUGGAAUUUGUAUUUUUAAUUUUUUUCCCAGUCAAAUUUUAUUGGUACACUUUAGAUAUACAUAAUGAUGACAUUCAUCAUAGAGAAUUUGUAACUUUUUUCUUCCUUUUUUCCUCCAUUCCUCUAUCCUUUAUUUUUAGUUUUUUAAAAGGAUCCUCCAUAUUGAUUUCCAUAGAAUUUUUACUAAUUUAUCUUCCCACCAACAAUGUAAAAGAGUUACUGUUCCUCCAUAGCCUCACUGGCAUUUGCUAUUAGAUUUCUUGAUGAUAGCCAUUCUUUUGGGACUAAGAUAUAAUCUCAGUAUUGUUUUUCCAUUUCUGUAGUGACCAGAGAUGUUGAAUAUUCUCUCAUGUAUUAAUUGGCCUGUGUACUUCUGAGAAGUGUUUAUUUAUCUCAAUUUCCAGUUAUUAUUAUUUUUUUCUCCUGGGAAUCAAACUCAGGCGGGUGCUGUGCCUCUGAGCUGAAUCCUUGGCCCUACCUGUUCUUUUGACUGAGUUGUUCAUUGAGGGGAAAUGUGGAAAUGUAAUGUUUUGAAUUGCUUGCUUUCUUUUCUCUCCCCUCCCCUCCCCUCCUCCCCUCCCCUCCCCUCCCCUCUCCUCUCCUUUUCUUUUCUUUUCUUUCUUUGGAACUGGGGAUUGAAUUCAUGACCUCGCACUUGCCAGGCAGGCACUUAUGCCACUGAACUAAAUCCCUGGCCCUGAAUUUCUGUAUAUAUCCUACUCGUUUUUUGUUUGAGGGAUAGCUGAUAAAAACAUUUUCCCCCAUUCUGUAGGUUGUCUUUUUACUCUGUUGGUUGUUUCCUUUGGUAUGGGAUGCCUUUUAAUUUGAUAUCUUAUUUGUUUAAGCUAGAUGUUAUUUUGUGCAAUUAGAAUUCUGUUCAGAAAGUCCUUUCCUAUGCUCCUGUCUUCAAGUUUUACCUAUUUUAUCUUCCAGCAGAGUGUUUUAAUACCUAAGUCUUUCAUCCAUUUUUUGAACAAGAUUGUGCAUUGUAGUGCAAGCUGGCAUUGAGCUCUCUAUGUAGUCCAGGCUGGUUUUGAAUUCAUUGUCUCAGUCUCCUGAUGUCUCCUAAUUCCUGGGAUUAUAGGCAUGCGCCAGUCAUGCCUAGCCUAUGGUCCAUUUUGCUUUUAUUUUAAUACAUAGUGAGAGAUUUGAGUCUAGAUUAAGAGUACUGUUUUUAUAGUAUAAAAAGCUUCUCUUUUAAAGGUUUUGAAAUAUAAAAAUAUCUUUUCCAGAUCUACCAUUGACUUUAAAAACAACAACCAAAAAGUCUUAGUAGCAAGUAGGUAGGUUUUGUAUUGGUGGUCCAUUCUGUAUUUAAUUCAGCCUGUAUUUUCCCUUCAUCUUUCUUGUAUAAUGUAAUUUUAUUUAUAUUUCACAUUCAUUUUUGAGCAUCCUUGCUCUGAGAUGUUAAGGGUUGUUUUUUGGGGAUUGAAAAACCUGACCUUGUAGGUCUGUUGGAAGUGCUGAGAUGAUAGUGUCUCUCUCAACAUCUGGAGCUGACCAGGACUGCUUACACUUUCAUCCCUUAGAGUGCACAGUUAGCUCUGAAUGUGUUGCAGGUGUUAAGGAAACACCUUUUAAAUGAGACCUAGGAGAAAUUACAUAUUACAGAGUUGUCCUCAAGUCUUUGGGUCAUUCUCAGACUGGUGUUUGAAACAGCACUAGGGGUAGUGGUGGUAUAAGCUUGAAAUUCCAGCGUUCAGGAGGCUGAGGCAGGAGGGUUGCCACAAGUUCCAGGCUAGGCUGGGCUACAUAGUUCAAGGCCACUCUGCAUUACAUAGUGAGACCCUGUUUCAAUCACUCCCUCCCCCAAAAGAAAGAAACAGUGUGGAAGUUAUGCUAAAGAGGGGCAAAUCUUUUACAGAUAAUGUGGACAGUUCUCUGCAGUGCAGCUGCCAUUUGCCUUUUCAUGAACAGUGAUCAUCCUUCCAUGUGUAACACCUGCAUUUGUGUCCCAUAGUCGUCCAGUACUCAUCUUACUAAGUGCCACUUACAAAUGGUUUCUAAGACUGAUUGUCAGUUUCUAAUUUGUGUGCAUGUGCUGCGGAUGGAACCUGCAGCUAAGGUGCAUCCACGACCUUUCCUGGAGACUAUGAGGUUGGAACUUGUUUCACAGUAACUAAACACCAUUUUUGCCUUUUUGUCUGUAUUGACAUUUAUACUGUCAGUGCAAAAUCAAUCAUGUUUAAACUCUUUGAAUGCCUUACUGUGAAUGCCUAAGGCCAUGUUAGUAGUUUCUGUAUUCUUUCCCACCACAUACUUAAUUUUAAAAAGACAGUUUCAGGGGAGCCUGUCUUUAAUAAGGGUUAAAAGAUAAUGAACUUGGGGCUGAGGAUUUAGCUCAGUGGCAUAAGCGCCUGCCUUACAAGCAGGCGGUUAUGAAUUCAAUCCCUGUUACCGAUAAAAAACCGAAAAAGACAAAAAAAAAAAAAAAGAUAAACUUUUGAGCCUUGGGUGUAUGUAUUUACUAUUCUGUGCUGUGAAACGGGAUGCACCUUUGCUGCACACUGAAACUUAAGUGGUGGUUUCCAACAAAUUGACCCCAUGGCCUUUGCACGGAAUCCACAUGUCCACCUGUUUUUAAUUUGGUAGUUUUAUUUACUUAUUUAUUUGUAUUGAGACAGGAUCUCCCUGAGUAGUAGUUCAGGCCAGCCUUGAUACUGCAUUGCUUCUCUUCUUUCAGCCUUGCACUGGGGGCUGUAACUGCCACAUUCAGUCUAUUUUUUAUUUUGAGACAGGGUCUCACUAAGUAAAUUGUUCAAACUGGGUUUGAACUUGAGAUCCUCCUGCUUCACUCUCCCAAAGUGCUGAGAUUAUAGGCAUUUGUCACUUUGCCAGGCUUGAAGAUCACAUUUGGCAUUCCUGUAAUCCCAGCACUUGGGAGGCUGAGGCAGGAGGAUCAUUCAAAGUUUAUGACCAGUUUGGGCUACACAGCUCAAGGCCAGCCUGAACUACAUAGUGAGACCCUGUCUCAAAAGACAGAAAAAGAAAAUGACAUUUGUAUUUGUAAUUGUGAUUAUGGUUAUUAAAUCAUGCUUUUUUGGUGGACAUUUUCUCAAAAACUGAAUUAACUAACCUGUUGCUUCAAGGAAAACUGACAGUUGAUAGUAUAUGCUUUUAGUGAGAAAAUUUGAACUUUAAUGAAAAAUUAGGAUUUUGGAGAACUUAGGUCUUGCCACCAUGUACAUGCCAGUUUUGUAAUAGACACUUAGGACAUGUUUUUUGAUUUUGUACAAUGAAAUGUGUCACUAUUGGGAAGAUACGUGUAAGUCAGUGAACCAUUAUUUUCCUAAUGGCCAGUGUGUGAUAGGUUAUGAUACUUGGGCAAAAGACUCAUACAAAAUACAAGAUAGAACACUGAACUUUAGCAAAUUUUGGCAUGAUGGUAACAAAGUAUGUCCAGAAAAGUCUAUCAAAAUACUCUUUUUAACUGUAUUUUUAAAACAUUUCACCAGAUUGAAUAUAAAAACAUGAGAAUUUUUUCAUUAGCUGUGUAUUGAAGAGAUUUAAAGAAUGAUCGGGGGAAAGAUGCCACUUUGUAGUUUAUUCUUUUUCUUGCUGGUAUUGAGGAUUGAGUGCAGGACCUUGUGUCUGCUAGGAAAGCACUCCACCACAGAAUUAUAUCCCUAGUCUUUUUUUUUUUUUUUUUUUUUCUUUUUUGAGAGAGGCUCUCACUAGGUUGCCCAGGCUAGCCUUGAAUUUAAUAUCCUCCUGGCCUCUGCCUCCUCAGUACCUGACAUCAUACAUAUGCACUUGGCACUGAAUUGUUUUUGUUUUGGAAAUGAUUGUUUUUGAUAAAAAAUGACCUAAGUUGGCUAGGGUUAUAGGUCAGUGGCAUAGUGCCCAUCUAGCAUGUGAAAGGUCCUGAGUUCAAUUCCAGGUGCAAACCCAAAAAACAAAACAAAAAGAUGUUCAGAAGUGUAAACUUUGCUGUUACUUUUUGUGAGUGUGCAUGCAUGUGAGUGAUAUGUGGGGUAUUGCUCCUACUAGGUAAGCACUCUUCCACUGAGGUAGGUCUUAUUACUUUUUAGUAAAGUAAUAUUUUAAUUGCUAAAGUGGUAAAUAUUGACAAGUACAACAUAUAUAAAGCUCUUUAAGAUCCUGAGUUUUAGUGAUCAUGUACAGGCUAGUGAGACUAGAAGUUUGACAGGCAUUACUCUAUAAAGUGUUGAGUUGUCAGGUGGUGGUAAAGUCUGUGAGUUGCUUUAAUUGUGCUCAACAUAAUGUCUAGGGGCUGGGGAUUUAGCUCAGUGGCAUAAGCACCUGCCUUGCAAGCAGGCAGUCGUGAGUUCGAUCCCCGGUACCGAUAAAAAAAGAAAAAGACAAAAAAAAAAAAAAAAAACAUAAUGUCUAGACUAUUACAGAUUCUUUAAUAAAAUAUUUGAAUUAGAUUGAAUUGUAUAGUAAAUGAUGAAAAUACACAUUGAACCUAGGAGAAAACAUGGUGGUGUUAUAUAAAAGAUGAGAAUCUUUUUUUUUUUUGGUCUUUUUGAGACUGUGCAGUUUAGGUUGGCCUUGAGCUUGCUUUGUAGCCCUGUCUGGUCUUAAAACUUGGCAAUAGUCUUCCUGCCUCGGCCUCCUGAGUGCUGGGAUUAUAGGCGUGUGCCACCAUGCCCUGCUGACAAGCAUUUUUCACCUAGUAAACAGUGUCACAUUCGCAUUGUAUUUUCUAAAUUCUCAAGAUAGUUUUUUCUACAUUUUAACAUCUUUGAAAUUGAGAUGUUUUAAAAUUGGUGGUGAGUCACUUUGAUGUAGCUUUUUUCUUCCUUGUGUCAUAAAAUGAUGGUGUGUUGUACAUGUAAUGAAAUAAGUAUCUUUUAUGUUGAGAGAAGGGAACAUUGGAUUGCAGUUCAAUUUGUAGCUACAGGAUAUGCUGCAUUAGUUGUUUUUCUUCAUCAGGUGCUGAAUUUACUCUGGGAAAUUGACAGUGAGCUGCUUUUGGAAUAUUCCAUUCGUAAGCAGUUACCUUUAUUUUGACCAGGCGUCUAUUAUACAGACAUGCAUUUAUUUACUUAUUAAUUUAUUUUGGUGCCGGGGAUUGAACUCAUGACCUCGAGCUUGCAAGGCAGACGCUUAUGCCGCUGAGCUAAAUCCUGGGCCCUAUAUAAGCUUUUAAACCUAUCUCUUGUUUUUCAUAAUAAAAGCUACUUCUCUGUUUACCUUUUUUGUUGUUUUUGAAACAGAGUCUUACUAUAUAGUCAGAGCUGUCCUUGAACUUCUAUUGUUUCUGCUUCAGAAUCCCAUGUCAUAGGAUUACUGGUUUUCUAUUUAAUCGUAUAGUUUUCAUCUUUUUUUAAAAAAAAAAAAUCUUUCCAGUAAGUCUAUUUAAAGAUGUUACUGGUUUGUUUUGAUAUUUAUUUAUUUAUUGUUGAAACAGGGAUUAGCUAUGUAGUUCAGACUGGCCUUGUGCUCACUAUCGAACCUAGCUAGCCUCCAACUCAUGGUGAUCCUCCUGCCUCAGCCUCUCAAGUGCUGGGACUGCAUGUGUCUGCCACUAUGCUUAGCUUUGUUUUAUUCUUUGUAAAAAAGAAUUGGACCAUAAUAUGGAGAUAUGAAGUAUUACUAAAUAGUGUAGGCAUUCCUAAAAAUAAGUUUAAGGUAGGAAAAGAGCCUUCCUUGGAAAAAUGAGUCAGAUCUUUUAGGAAAGGCUUUAUGGGAAAAGCUAAUUUUUUUUUUGAGGCCAGGCCUCACUGUGUAGUUCAGGCUUGGCUUGAGCUCACUUUGUAGACCAGGCUGGUCUCAAACUCGCAAAGAUGUGUCUGCCUUAGCCUCCUGAGUAUUGGGAUCGUAGACCAUGCAGCAUUAUGCCUGGCUGGAAGAAGCUAAAUGUUACAAAGACAGAGGUGGACACCUACAAGUAGGAGGUGAGCAGUCGCAGGGCUUGAUGAAAAGAUCCAGGGAUGUGAACAGUCAUUAUAAGUAGCUGUGUAAUUAAUUGUACUAGAGUGUAUCCUUUGUGACCAAGGUUGUGUGAGAUGCUGUAAGGUGAACAGGCUGAGCUUUUGGCGUUUUCUACUGUUGGGGACUCUCUGCAGGUCUGAUGUUUUUCCAGAUAGGCAGUUUCUCAUCCAUUAACCAAAGAAGGCUCUUGGGAAAGAAUUUCUCCACAGAGAUUGUUGAAACCUGAUCAAUGGCCGGUGCCAUUGAUAGGGAAAAUGAACAGAGUAGUGACAUGUUACAAGAGAAGGCUUAAGAUAGUAUUUUGAAAUGCAUAUACUUUCUCAGAUAAUGUGCUGUGUUUGAAGAAGUAAAAUGCUGUAAAAUCACCAUCACAAAUUGGGAUUUGCUUCUGUCUUUGCUUUGGUCUUCUAAUUGAAAAAAUGCCUAUAAUUUGUUUUGAAGUUUGUGUGAAAAGGUACAUGAAUGCUUUUAGGAUAUAGUUCAUAGUUUACCUAGGAAUUACAGUGCUUCUAGCAGAAGUUCAGAAAUAAUGUGGCUACAAUAGAAAGUAAGUAUGCAGGCAGAGAAGGGCAGGCUGAAUAUCUGCUCAUUUUGGUGUUCGUCCUGAAGUGCUGCUCCUAUGUCACAUGAAGGCUUCAUGUAGAAGGGAAAGAAAGAGAAUGAGGUGGCAUCUUCUGUACAAUCAUCAUUUUUCUCCUUUUCCUUCUUAGUUAUACUAAGAACUCAAGGCCUUUGCAUUAGCUACAUCCCCAGCCUAUUCAUUCAUUUAUUUAGAAAGUGUCUUGCCAAGUCACUGAGUUGCUCAAGCUGGCCUUGGAACUUGAGAUCCUCUUGUCUCAGCCUCCCAGAGUGCUGGAUUACAAGUAGACUCCAUGAUGCCUGGCUUGCACACCUAUCAUUUUAGAAACUUUUCUGCAUAUCUUUCCCUACAAAUUGUGCCGAUAAUCUUGGGUGAGAAAUGAUAGCUGACUAACCUGAACUGCAAUAGAAGGUGGGAAAUAUGGCUUCUUGAUUGCCCUAAAAAUUUUGUUUUGUACCAGGAAUCAAACAAUGAAAGCAAUACAGGACUUUUAAACAGGAUAAUAGGAAAUCAACAGUGGCUAUCAUAAUGCCUCUUGUUAUCUUCAAAAUUGCUGUCCAUACCAUCAGACAUAAUAAAAUCAAACAGAACAUCAAAUAAAACAGGACUAAACAAAAUAGAACAAUGUUGGAUUUCAAAAGCAAAAGAAGGAAAUACCCCAUAGUUGCUAUAUUGUAUAUUGUUAUCCUCUUAAUAGAUGUUCAGACUAGCAGCCUUAGGCAUUUUGUAUUUUCAGAUUAGGGUGGCUCAACUUGUUUUGAAAUUUUUUGAUUAAGAAAGUCAGAGUUUUUUUAUACUGUAUAUUAAUGUAUAAAUUCUAGUCACACAAAAAAUUGUUUCAACUUUUCAAUAGUAAGAGAGGGGUGCUUUAAGUUCUGAGUAAUAUUUCAGAACCAAAUCUUAUGUUGAUAGAAUUCACCGGUUAAAACACAGUAGUAGGCUGCAUUGUAGAUCUUUUUCAUUUAGUUACCAUGUUUGUUUGAGACAGUCUUGCUUUGUAGUUCAGGCUGGCCUUGAACUCAUGCCAAUCUUCUUGCCUCAUUCUCCCAAGUGCUAGGAUUACAGGUGUAUGCCACCAUGGCCAGCAGUUGCCUCAUUUUUAUGGUAAAACCAAACUUAGGGAAGCAGGGAAAGCCACCUGCAGUAUUACAUGACUGUAAUCUCAGCUGCUUGAAAGGUAGAAGCAGGAAGAUCACAAGUUUGAGGCCAACCUGGGCAACUUAAGCUGUCAAAAAAGCCCCCCCAAAACAAAAGAAAAGCUGAGCAUGCAACACAGUUGCAGACUCACUUGGCAUCAGUAAGGCUUACUUGCCUUACUGGGUUCUGUGGGUUCAAUCACCAGCGCUGGAAAGGAAAAAAAAAGAUAAUUCAGAUUGAAUUGCAUAAUGAUUUUACUAAAUUACCUGCUGAAAAAAUACUGAGUAGAAAGUUUUUUUCCAGUUCACUGUGAAAAACCCCAGAUACUCCAUAAAUACGGAAAAAAUAGAAUAAUGUAUACCUAUAUCCCUUCUCACCGCGUGGACUCAAUGUUUUUGCUAUAUUUGCUUUAUUAUGUAUAUUUUCAGUUGAAUCAUUUGAGUAAGUUGAAAUAUCAUGACAUUUGAACCUAGUUACUUUAAAGUGCAUCUCCAAGAGUAAAAACUUUUCCUAUAUAAUCACAGUACCUACCAUUAUCACACCAACAAGUAGUAAUUCCAUUUAUGUCAUGAAACAUUCCUACAGGAAAUGUCCAAAUGGUGAUAUUUUUAGUAUAGUUAUUUUCACAGGAAGAAACACAUUCUUACUCCUUAAACAAUCUAGCAUGAGGCUAAAAAGAAAAAACACAAAAAAUUGCUUUAAAAUCCUUGGUAUCCUAGUGGGAAAAAGUUUUCAUACAUUCUAAUAUGUAGUCAGCUUUUAUAUCACAGUUUAAGGUUGUAGUUAUAGUUGCAUUUUUUUUUAAACUAGCAAUUUCUGUGGGAUGUACUUGAAGUGGACCUAUAUUGAGUUGAUUCAUUUUUAAAGCAGAGUAACCAAAAGGAGCCCAGGUGGAUAUUUGUUACAGGUAAGUUUAUUUUACUCCAACUAUAGAGAUAGGAUAAAAUUAUAGUAAAAUAUAAAUUGUAUUUGGAAUAGUUUGAUUGUGUUAACUGCAUGAUGAGGAAAGAAUCCUUUUGCUUUGUACCCAUAUUAAAAUCUUAACGAGCUAGGCUUGGUGGCAAAUCCCACCUGUAAUCCCAGCACUUGGGAGGCUGAGGCAAGAGUGAGUUUGAGGCCAGCAAUGAGUAGUCAGGUAUAGAGAUCAAAGCUAUCCUGAACUAUGUAGCAAUAACAUGUCUCAAAAAAGGGAAACAAAAAUAUUGUGAAGUAGAUGUCAAUUUUUCUGCCUAUAAAAAAUGUGGAAUGGUGAGUAAAAUUGGAACCUUAAGAUUAAAGACCGGAGACAGUCUUUAAUAGAAAAAUGCUACUUGCCACAGAGGGUUAUCAUACUAUAGGUGAAAUUGUGAUGUCUGGUGGUUAGCACAGAAUCUGAUACAUGAGUACUUCAGGAUUGGCUUUAAAACAAAAAAAGAAACUGUGUGGAAUAUAUGUUGAUUUGGAACUAUUAAUACCACAAUCUUUUGCCAUAAUGGGGACUGAACCUGGCCUUGCACAUGCACACUAAGCAAUACCCCUAGCCUUUAUUAUUUGUUUUGGUUUGGGUUUUUUGGGGCACCAGGGAUCAAACUUGCAACCUUCUGCUUGCCAGGCAGGUGCUAAUGUCGCUGAGCCAAAUCCUCUGCCGUAUUAUUUGUUAUUUUGAGAUAGGAUCAGAAGUGCCCAGGCUCAUCUUGUGAUUCUUGCUUCAGUCUCUUGAGUGACUGGGUUAUGGGUAUGUACCAUUAUGCCCAGUAUAAUUGCCAGAACACGUUAAUGGUUACUGUCCACCCCUAAUAAUACAUAUGGUCAUUUGACAAUAGUGAACUAGGCGAAUUUAAAGCAGAUUGAUUUUAUGUGACCUUUGUACAGCAUUUUUUGUUUUGUUUUUUGUUUUUUGUCUUUUUCCUUUUUAUUGGUACCAGGGAUUGAACUCACGACUGCCUGCUUGCAAGGCAGGCGCUUAAGCCGCCGAGCUAAAUCCCCAGCCCCAUCCCCAGCAUUUUUGAAAUGGAGUCUCCUUAAGUUACCAAGUUACCCAGGCUGAGUUCGACCUUGUAAUUCUGAGUGCUGGAAUUAUAAAUGUGUGCCACCUGGCUUGGAAUUGCUAGUCUUAAUAGAACAUAUUUUCAACUUGACUAGAGAAGAAAAAAAAAUCACCCUUGAAACUGGUUGAAAUUUACAAUGAUGUGAACAACACAUGAGUCUGUUAGGCCAACACUUGUCGACUUUUCCAGUAUUUACCCAUCUGCUGGAUAUAAAAUGGUAUCCUAAUGUUUUGUGUUCUAAUCAAAUUUUUUUUAGUGUCUUUUCUGUGUCAGACCCUUUGCAAGGCAGUAAAGAUGCCACCAAGAGGAGCAAGACAUGGCUUUUCUACUCUAGGAAACUUGCAUUCUAGGAGAGAUGGAUUUUGUCAAUCUAUGAAUGCCAAAGGGACCCAGAAGCAAAUGAUGUUCAUCUCACUUGAGGAAAUGGAGCUGUUGAGAAAGAUGAAGCCUGACUUUUGUUUUGAAAGAUGAGUCACAGGAGAUCUUCCCUUCUCGUUGACAACUUCUUGUCCUCCCCUCUGCAGUCCACCUAUGGUGCCGACUCCCAGGAGAGGGCUGGCACCUGGCUUUUCUCAUCAGCCCACACAGGGCACCAACUUUUUGUUUUAUUUUGCUUGGUUUUAUUCUCUUUAAAAUAAAAUUUAAAAAAAUUUUUUUUAAAAAGAUGAGUAAGCAUUUUGGAUUUGAAGGACAUUGUAGAAAGAGGAAGUAGGCAAAGAUGACAGUAAAACCACAUCAUUUAAGGUAUUUGAGUGUUAGUGACUAUGCAGAGCCCUGAGAUGGAUGAGGACGAGGCUAAGCAGAGAAGAGACUGUAGAGGUAGGCAGCUGCAGGGACCCAGAGAGAGGUGGUUAAAAGUUUUAAGUGAGAUACGACUAGGAGAGCAGGUUCACCCCCUCCCCCAGUUUAGAAAUGGAUUCUGGUAUUUAAAAUAAUGGACAAACAUGAAAUUUCAAUUCAAACUUGCUGACAUACUGCUAUUUAUUACUGCUUUUCUGAAACAGGUAGAUGGAAAUUAUUUUUCCUUUGAAUUGGGAGUUGGUAGUUUGCUACCUUAGUGGGAAGAUGGAAUGAACUGUGGCCUUGUACACAAUACAUUUGCACUCUCUCAUCCAUGUGCCUUAGUGUUAAGUGGGACAACAUAUGGUCUUCACAGUGUUUCCUUUUACCAUGUAGAAAUAGGUGUAGUUUUAUAAUAGGAGUGGUAAUUUUAAGAAUUUGUAUUUUUGGAUAAUCUUUGUAAAGAUAUUUUCAAUCUUUGUCUUAUUUUUGAAACAUCAUAGCAAAUACAAAUAUAGAACUUCCUUUUAUAAGCCAGAAUGCCUCUUAAUCAGUUCUGUGUGUGUGUGUAUAGAUGGUGAUAGCAAAUGUUCUUUGAAUUUCUUGCUGCUUUUGGUGUCCUUAAGCUGCUCCUCUUCUAUCCUCCUAUCUUCCUUCCCUUUUUCUUCUUCUUGUUUUUAAUCCAGGGCCUCUUGCCUACUAAGUAAGCACUAGACAGUACUUGCCUGCUAAAUAAGGACUAGACAGUACCACAGAGUUACAUGCCCACACAAAAGUUUUAUUUUGAGGCAGUCUCAUUAAGUUGCCUGGGCUGGCCUUGGACUUAGAUCUUCCUACCUCAGUUUUCCAAGUAGCUGGGUUACAGAUGUAUGCCACCACACCCAGCUAGUCCUUUUUAACAGGAGUGUUUGUGUUACUUCAAGGUAUGAAAGUUGAGGCCUAUCAGCACUUAAUUUAGUAGAAGCAGUUUUAGGAGACCCAAGCUGGAAAGAGUUGGGUUUUGGAAAUUUUUGGUGUUUUAAAAUCAAUGAGUGUUCUCAAGAGAUGCUGAGACAAAAGACAAAAACAAAACAAAACAAAACAAAAGCAAUGAGUAUUAAAUGUAUAGCACAGAGUAGUAAGCAUUUGUAAGUGUGCACGUGUUUGGCAUCAGCUCUUGGUAACAAGUGUCACACUUCUGUUGGUUUUAAGAAGUGUUUUUAAAGAUUUGUUGAUUGAGAUGCUGAGGCAACUGAGCAUUACAUUGUGUGUGUGUUGCUAAGGAUUGAUUCCUGGGCCUCUAGCAUGGUAGAUAAGCAAUCUACUACUGAACUAUGUAGCUCUACCUCUGGAGAAUCCUGGACAGGUAGAUUAGAUUUUUAGUCUUUCAGUUCAAGAUUGCAAUUGUCUUUUCUAGCUACUUGAUAUUUCCUUCAUAUCUCUAUAAAAGAGGCUUUUAUUAAUUUUAGACUUAAUCCAGGAAGACCUUUCACUGAGAAAGAACCUGUUUGGUAUUAAAAGAACUAGACAGAAGCUUGUCUUGCCCAACAUCCCUUUCUUAGCCCUUCUCAACCGCAUCCCCCCCACCGUGUUGACAUGGCCUCAUUCUUUUCUAUUACUUGUCCUCAACUCCAUCAUGCACAUACUUUUAUAUAAGUGCACAUACAUACAUACAUAUUAGGAGGAGGCGUACAGAUGUUAAUAAUGUAUGUCCUCAUGGUGAGGAAUGAAGUUUUUUUAAUUUAACUUCUGAUUUUAGCAAAUGUAUUCUUACUAAUACCUUGGCAGCAGAAGUUGGCUUGAUCAAUUGGAUCAAGGUGACUGUUGUAAAAUAAACAAAAGGAAACAGCACAAUGUUGAAUUUGUAGGCAACAUGUGAGACUAAGCAAAUGCGACUUUUGCAGGUGGUUUGGCCAUUAGCUGUGAGCAUGCUCAGAAUGCAUUUAGGCAAGCGGACAGGAUGUUCUAAAGUACUGUGUAACCUUGAAACAUUACUUCUACUUCUGUUUCCAGAAAUGAAAUCUAAAACAGAAAAGCUGUUUGCCUUCCUCUUCACUUGAAGAACAAAAGUAGAACUUGUAAAUCUGAACUAGUUAUUACAAAGUGCUAGAAUGAAUGUCUUUAGUUCUGGAUUUGGUUCUUUAAUGCAGAUUUUUAAAAAAAUUUAGUUAGACCUUUACUACAGACAAAAAAUAUUUUUUUUAAAGUGGGAAAAUAACACAACUACUCACUUGCACAUAUUCUAUUUUAAAUAGCUCAGAAAUGUAAAGCAAAUUUAAAGUCUAUAGAGACAGUCUUGAUUUUUUGAUAUCCCUUGAAUUGAGUGUGUUUAACGCCAGAGGACUUCUAUGUUAAGCCAGUUAUAAAGCCAAAAACUGCAUUCAUGGUAUUAGAGUCCUGGAAUGAGUGUAAUUAUCCACCUAUGAAAAACUGAAAUCAUUUGAAGAAAAAUUUACAGAUACAGGAAUAUGAGCCAUCUGAAAGUUUAAAAUGCAUCUGAAAGAUCUUCUGAGAGUCAUAGGGUUUUGUUUGUUUUACGUUUUUUUGUUGUUGUUGUUGUUGUUGUUUUGUUUUGUUUUUUGGAGAUGGAGUCUUACCAUAUUGUCCAGGCUGGCCUCAAACUCAUGGUGAUCCUCCUGCCUCAGCCUCUUGAGUACUGGGAUUACAGACAUGCACCACCAUGCCUGCCUAUGGAUUUUUUUCUUGUCUUGCUUUUAAUAAUUAAAUUUGAGAGGUAGGUAUGGUGGUGCAUGCCUAUAAUUGUAGCAUUCAGGAGGCUGAGACAGGAGGAUGGCAAGCUAGGUCAGCCUGGGCUGCCUAGAGACUGUCUCAAAAAAAAAAAAAAAAAAAAAGGAAAAAAUAAUUGAAAUUGAUGUGAAAAACAUUUUAGGUGGAUAGAUUUAGGAGGCUGGUAAAGGCAAAAAACAUUGAUCAAUUGAUUGAUGGAGUUUUGAGACAGGGUCUCCCUGUGUACCUCAGGCUAGCCUCAAACUGACUAUGUAGUUCAGGUUGGCCUUGAACUUGUGGUAAUCAGCCUGCAUGAGUUAGUCUCCCAAGUGCUAGGAUUACAGACAUGUACUGUGCCUGACUUAAGUUUUAAUUAUAGAUUGUCUUUGCAUCUUCUUUGGCUUGUUUACAUAUCCUGAAUUAAUGCUUGAAAGAAUGAUCUGUGGAAUUCAGCAGUUUAAUUGCUUUUAAGAUGGGAGUGGAUCUCAAAGGCAACUGCAUACUGGGAUGGUGGGAACAUUUUUUGCAAGACAGGCGUAAUUAGGGUCUGCACUGUAUAAGCAAGCCUGUUUGCUUGUGCUUUGGCCACACCUGUAGACAGGCUGUUUUACAAAGAGUUGUCUGCUAAAUGGAUGCCUUUCUGUCUCAGUGUUUCUUCCUGGUACUCUGAAAACUGUGGGGAUGAGGUGGGGGGAAUAGGGUGUUCUGUUCUGGAGGUUAAAGAUGUUGUUUGCCUGAACGCUCCAGUUGCAUUAUUUAGUAUGUAUUUUAAAAAUUGAAGCAGCAAAUGAAGCACCCUUCUCACCAUUUAACAAGAGCCAAAGUAGUGGCUCUCAUCUCUGGAAGUGUGCUUCUAGCACUCCUUCAAAGCCAUGUAAAUUGCUCUCACAGUCUCAGAGAAAGAUAGGGUUCCCCUAAAAACCAAAGUCUAGAGGGGUUGGAAAUUGUCAUUUGUAUAUGGCUUAAACUGAUAAAAUACUUCUUAAACUGCCUCCUCUGAGCCAGAUAGUAAUAACGUUAUUGAUAGAAGUAACAACUGACAUGGAGUGCAUACCAUGCUGAGCACUGCUUUCUUUUUUCUGUCUGACUGUCCUUUUCUCUCUCUCUCUUUUUUUGUACUCGUGAUUGAAUUCAUGCUUGCCAGGCAGGCGCUGAUGCCAUUGAGCUAAAUCCGCAGCUCCUUUUUUGUCUUUCUCAUUUUUUAUCGGUACCAGGGAUCGAACUCACGACCGCACACUUCCAAGGCAGGCACUUAUACCGCUGAGCUAAAUCCCCAGCCCCCCUUUUUUGUCUUUUUGAGACAGGAUCUUGCCAUGUAGUUCAAGCUGGCCUUGAACUCAGUUUGUAGCCCAGGCUAGUCUUGAACUGGUAACGAUCUUCCUGCCUCAGACUCCCAAGUGCUGGAAUUUACAAGCAUGAGCCACCACACCUGGCUUUUUCUUUCAUUCUUUUGUUGUUCUUCCAUUUUUCAUUUUUGUGUCAGGAAUCAAAUUCAUAACCUUUCAUUGCCAGGCAGACACUAUGCCACUAGGCCUGGCCCUGGCCUUGCUUUUUUUUUUUUUUUUAAGCAUGUUAGAUGUCUUCCCAAGUGAUAAUAGAUACUAUUUUCAUUGCUUUACAGAUGAGAAAUCUGAGUGUUGGGAUCCAGUCCUAUGUCAAUUAAAUUGUAGAGCUAAAAAAUAAACUCAGAAUGUUAGAUUCAGGAGCUUUGAUGCUGAACAACUGGUUGGUCAUUCCCCUGACUGGGUGAUAAGCAAAGUGACCAUAUUUCAUCCAAGGAGUGGGCUCAGAGAAAAUAAAUUACUGUCAUAAGUUGAAGCCAGAGUCAGUUUGAAGUGAGAGUUUAUUCUUUCUUCACUGUUAUUAUAUGACCCAUUAGAGUACAAUACUAUAAAAUCUGAUUUAUAGAGGUCUUUUUAUAUCUUGUGUGGGCUUCCAUGCAUUUAGGGGAGGGAGUUGCUUAUAACUUGAUUUGUGAGGUGAUGUUUUGCUCUCAGAGAUGUCAUGUACCUUGUGCUGAUUUUGUUAGCCAACCUGAUGGUGCAGUUGAUGGCUUUAUAGCAAUCUGGGUUGUAAGACUUGCACUGAGCUCCAGAGGAGAAAGAGGCGGGGAUCUGAGUUCUUGUUUUUAGAAUCUGUUCUUAGAGAUGUUACCUUCCUUUGAGUAGGUAACCUUAUGGGAUUAUAGUUAAUUAAUUGCAGAGCCUCUGAAGUCAGACCUCCUUCUACCACCCAUUCCGUUGAGGAUUUGAGGUAAGGCCCUUAACCUUUCUAAGUCUUAAUUUCCCCAUCUGUACAGAUGUCUUUUGGGUUAUUGUGGAACUUGCAUGAGACAAACUUGACAUUAAGUGCUCCUGAGUGUGUUUGGGAGACUGGUUGAUGUGCAGGAGACUGUGGUGACUAGUUUUCUUCUGUGUGUUCGCUUGUAAACAGUUUUCACAGAGAUGAAUGCUUUCUCAAUUGGACUUCAGCAUAAUACUCUGAAAUGGAUAUUUGGGAUUCUCUUUAUUUUGUAAUGACAUAUUACUAAGUAAAUUUUCAUGUGUAUUAUUAAAUUUGUAACAUUUUAUGUAAAUUUUAUUACCUUACCUUUAAUUGGAAAUAUACUUCAUGUUUUGGAAGAAAAUUAUUUUAAUACAUUCAUGAUGGGGCUGUAACUCAUGUAUCUCACUGCCAGGUGUUGAGCCACCAGUGAUACAUGCAUGAUUGUCCCCUCGGGUAACUUUUUAUUAGUAAAGAGACCAUAAAAGUUUUAGAUCUGUUUUACCACCAGUGGCAUAAGGCACCUGAGAGAGUCAGGCAGGAAAUGCAGCUAGUUUGAACUAGGAAAGCGUAUUCCAAUAAUAGACCCAUUACCAUAAUAGAAUGAAUGUUAGAAUUUUUUGUACAUUAUCAUGAUAAGUUGGUGUUAGGCCCAGGCAAACCACAUAAUAGCUAGAAAUCUUGAUUGAGAGACACAGUGAUUUCUAUCUUAUUCAUGGGCAUGUGUUAUUUAUUGAAACUAGUAAAACAUUAAGUUCUUACAACUUAUGCUUUUCUUGAUAACUCUACUGAUAAAAUUAUGUCCUUAUUUUCAGUUUGAAGAAAAUGUCAAGAAGCUCUUCAUUUAGUACCAUAUUCAGGCUAGACUUUGUAUAGGAAUAACACAUGGUGUGCUGGUGAAUAAUGAGCAACUUUCCUGAAAUGAAUAAUCAUCUCUGAUUUGUAGCAUUUGCUGAUUUCAGGGAUAAUAAAUACUCCACUAUGGCUGGUUUCAGUGUACCAAUGUUAAUGUCAUUGAACUUGAAGUUGGGAAUAUACAUAUAAUCAGUUGGCUUGAAUUAACCUCAGCUCUCAAGUGUUCAGGAUAUGUUCAGGAUUUUAUGCUCACUCGCUGUCUUUCUGUCUGUCUGUCUUUUGAUGCAGUCUUGCUUUAUUGCCCAGACUGGCCUCCAGUUUGUAAUCCGUCAGCCUGAGUAGCUAGAAAUACAAAGUAUGCCGUUUUGUCUGGCACAAGCCUAUAUCUUAAUAAUAAUUAGCUUUCUUUAGUCCUUUUUUUAAAAAAGUUGAUCUUAAUGAAGUACAAUUUACAUACAACAAAAUUAAGCAAUUUUGAGCAUAUACAUUUAAUGGCUUUUGACAAGUGUAUGCCCUACCUCAAUCAUGGUACUCAUCAUUCCUGUUUUUUUUUUUUUUUUGUCUUUUUCCUUUUUUAUCGGUACCAGGGAUCGAACUCACGACUACCUGCUUGCAAGGCAGGCGCUUAUGCCACUGAGCUAAAUCCCCAGCCCCUUCAUCAUUCCUUCUGUGUAUAGUUGCCAGAUUAACAUUUCUCAAAUUUUACUUUAUAGUCACAUACCUAUGCAUAAAACCUUCACUGGCAAUAUGCUGACCAUAAGACAAGGUACAGAACUCUAGGGCUGUGGAUACAGCUUAGUGGCAUGAGUGCCUACUUGGCAAACAAAAGGUCCUGAGUUCAGUUUCCAGUACCAAAAAAAAAGCCUCUGUCACCUGGGCUGCUUAACAUACCACUUCUUCUCUGACCUAAUCUACCUCAGUCUGUGCACAUAAAUUUCUUAUCCCAGUAAGAUGAAUCAUCUGGGUCCAGUGCAGGGUGGCCUGUUCCUCUAAUCCUAGCUAUUUGGGAUCACAGGCCAAAUUGGAGGCCAGCCUAGGCAAUUUUAGUUAGACCUCAUCUCAAAAUAAAAAGGACUGGGGGUAUAGCUCAGUGGUAGAAUGCUUUGCUUGGUAUGUGUAAAGCCCUGGUUUUAAUCUGCAGUUCUUCAAUGAUAAAACAAAAACUGAUCAGGUGGUUCCAAGGACAAGCCCUGCAUUUGUUUUUUGGUUUGUCUGUACCUUUCCUGCAGUAUUCCGGACACCUCCUGUUCUUUAUUUUUUCUUAUUCUGGGUCACGCUCACACUUAGUUUUCUAGUUUUUCAUUAGGAUGAGUACUUUCUAAUCUGACCACUCAUACUGCUUAUUUGUCACUAAAUUUUUCAGUUUGUAUUGAAAUCUCAGGGUUCUAUCCAUAUGAUCUUUGCCAACAAAGUUGUAAGCUAUAGUAGGAUAGGUAAUAAUGUUGUAUAACUCAGGUUUACAAUAAAUAGUUCUUGAUGGAAGUAAACCAUUAAGCAACUCUUCAAUCUCAGCGAGUUACAAACUCUGAUCCUGAGAGACUCCUACUAUGCUAUACACAUAGACCUCUCAAAGCCUGAAGAUGUAUCUAUUACAGAUUAUAAAUGUGUUGUAAUGUUUCUCCAAGCCAGUGUUAGUCAUUAAAAUGAACAUUACAGAUUUCUUCUCUGCCCUGAAAAGCCGUUUAGAAAUGGUUAGCAUAUGGAUUGUGGACUUUUGUGAGAAUCAAACAUUUAAAGUAAAGUUUUAAAAGAAAACUCAAAAAAACUCAAGCUUUUUUGUAUGUUUUGAUGUACUGGUAAGAAGUCAGGAAGGGGGUUCUAGUUGGUUUCCUUCCUGUCCCAGGAAACCAUAAUAUUCUGAAAAAUUUUUGCAUGUGUGCUUGUAUGUGUAUGUGUGUGUGUUUCAGUAACCUUAUGCAAACUCUUCCAUUUCAUCUUUUUUUUUUUUUUGAUGGGGUACCAGGAAUUGAGUUUAGGACCUCAUGCUUGCCAAGCAGGUGCUGCACUACUGAACUAAAUCUCUGGCCCUUUUCAUUUUAAAAUUUGUAUUUGCACCGUAUAUAAUGAUGCAUAUCUUUAAUUCCAGCAGUCAGGAGACUGAGGCAGGUGGAUCACUACUAGAGGCCACCCUGGGCUACAAAGUGAAUUCAAAGCCAGCCUGAAGUGCAUAGUAAAACCCUAUGUCAAAAAGACAAAACCAAAACCCAAAAACAAAACAAAAAGCUUUUAUUUUCUCUGUUUAAAAAAAAAAGUUGGCAGGGUACUUACUGAAAAUUGGCAUUGGUAAUCUAAAAAUCCUUAAUAAAUUCUAGAUAUUUAUCUCUAUUUCUCAGCCUACCUUCAGGUUCCUCUUUUUAUCUUUUAAUUCUCGGGUGUACAAAGGGUUCUUCAGUUGACCCUUAUCUCUUGUGGUUGACAUACUUUGCUUGAGCAGUUUCAUCUGGUGUACCCACGCAUUUGUUUCCACACUUGAAAUUCCAUGUGUCUUGAGUUCCACUCUUGGAUGAUCAAAUGCCUACUGGAAAUCUUCACUUAGCUGCUCUUCAGAAAUCAGAUGUAACAUAUCCUAAGUGUGAUAUCUCUCUGUAUUAUUAUUCACUUGUCAAAUACUAUCGCUGACUUGUCUCACUGUUCUCUCCCUUUGUGUCUGUCAGGUCCUCAGACAUUUUUAAGUCCUUUUCCCUCCCUGUGAGUUCAGGCUAACUUUGUCCUUUGUUAUCCUUAUCGCUUGCCCACCCUGGUAUUUAAAACAUGAACUAAGAGCUAGUUUACUUCCCUGACCUUAGAUUAACUAUGCCCAUAAAUCUCUAUGGUGACUGGAAAGCCAUUAUAAUUAUUGGUGAUUUGAGGGCCACUGUGUUCUUUUCCUGUGGGUGAACAUAGCUAGGAAUCUGUACCAUAACUAGAUGGUUGUUUGGGAAGGAACCAGAGCAGAAGCAAUGAGAUGAAGCAAGUGUAUACUGGCCUCACAUAGUCUGACUGAUGCUGUAAUCUCAUUGUGAUCAGCAGACUCCUGUCUAACAGAGGCAUCCCCUCCCCACAAUGACAUCAGCCGUCCCUGCCAGCCUCUUUAAUUCUUCUGUGGUUGAGUUGACCUUUUGUGUUACUUUACAUGUACUAAAUACAUUCAGUGAAGCUGUACUUGAAUCUUACUUUCUGACAACUUCUCUGUCGGAUGGUUUAUAUUCUUCUCUCCUGAGUUGUCGUGUGUUGCUCUCCAGUUGAGCACUGAGAAGCUGUCUUAUUUCACGUGUUAAGAGAAUACUUUACUAUCGGUGCCAUGUAAAGGAAGGAAGCCAAUUUCCCUGGUAUCACUACCUUUUCUUGUUUACCCACUAUUCUGAGUUAGGGAUAGGAAUACCUUCAUAAUGCCUCCCUGACACUUCUGAGUGAUCAUUCUCACUGUUUUGGGGGGGCGUUGUUUUGGAGACAAGGUCUCACUGUAUAGUCCAGGCUGGCCUUAAACUCACUAUGUAUCCUAGGUUGGGCUUGAACUCAUGGUGGUCCUCUUGCCCCAGUCACCUGAGCGCAGGGAUUAUAGGUAUGCACCAUCAUGGCCUGCCAUUUGUUUUUUUGUUGAGCACCCACUAUAGGCCAGAGACUGGGCUGAGUGUCAGGAGGAGAAUACAGAAGCUAGUUGUUUCUUCCACUUGGAACUUGAAUUUUGUUGGAGGUGAGAAUGUAAACAGAUAAAUACCGCUUAUGGCUGUGGAUGGUAGAGCCAUCUAUAAUCCCAGAACUCAGGAAGCUAAAGCAGUAGGAUUGCCAUUAGUUUGAGACCAGCCUGGCUAUGUAGCAAGAUCCUGUCUCAAAAACAAAAAACAAGGCCGGGGCUUUAGCUCAGUGAAGUAAACACCUGCGUGGCAAGCGCAAGGUCAUGAGUUCGAUCCCUGGUACCCCCCCCCCCAAUUUUAUUUUUUAUUUUUUUUGCUUGUGGCAAGACCAGGAGCAGACAGGCUGGUGGUAGAAUAACUGAGGAUAUAUAAAUAUAGAUGUAAUUUUAAAAAUUGGGAGAGUGUAUUUAAAUAUGUACUUUUAAGUGAUCAGAAUGAUAUAAGGAAGUGGCAUUUAAGACACACCAUAAAGAGCAGGAAGAAGUAAGCUAUCUGUAGAAACAGAGAAGUGAGCCUAGUCAGAAGAAAGCCUGCAGAGGCUCUGAGGAGAUAGAUAGCUUGCUGUGUUUCAGGCAGUGAAAGAUUACCAGUGAAGCUGGGAAGGCAGAAAAGGAGAAUGUGUCAUAUUGUGUCAGUGAUAUUGUUGGCCUAGUGAGUGAGAUUAGUGAUACAAUGAUUCACACAGAUUAAGAUUUCUUUGGAUCUAGUGCUUGAAGGAUUUGUGGGGGCUUUUUGUUUGUUUGGUGAUGGUUGGGAAUCAAGCACUCUGUUCCUGAGCUAUAUCCUCAGCCACUAAACUGGGAUUCUAAACGUUCACUUUACAUAUUCUUUUCUGGAACAUUAAUACAAAUGAUGAUGGAAAAUCUAGAAUUCCUUCUUGUGUGAAGUAUAUCAUAAAAUUUCAGACACUUCUCAGGGAGAGAAAUGUCUCCUUUUGGUGAAUUUCUAUCCCUAAUGAAUCUAUAAUAUAGCCAUAUUUUUAUAUUAUGUUGAGGAUUUUUACAUAGUCUGAUUGGCCGUUGUUAAACUUAGUUGGUCUGUUUUAAUGCACAACGGUUAAGAUAAGCACUACUAAUUUAAUACCACAUACUCAUCUGAAAAUCAGUUCAGGAUAAGCACUGAGUCAUUUCAUGCAUAAGUACGGUAUUGGAUUUGUUGUUUCAGAGUGUUAUUUCAAGUCCUGUCAGUACAAGGAUUCUCUCCUUUCCAGCUUUCAUGCUCACUCUUAUCUUUCAUGCAUCAGAUUAUUUGUGUACUACUGGGACUAAGGGAAUCGGAAGACAGAACCACAUUUGAGAACCAUUCACUAACAGUGAUCUUGGAAAGUGCUGUAACCUGGCAUUUUCUUAAUCUUUUUGUGUUUCUGUGGAGGAGGGUAUUGGAGAUAAAAUCCAGGACCUUACCAUACUAGACAAGCAUUGUAUCCAUUGAGUUCUAUUACCCCUCCCUCCGUUAUUUUGGACAAUGUGAUCAUUCCCAAUUUUGUCAGUGGGCCGAGAGAAGAGAAAGUGAGGCUUAGAGAAUAUUUCACUUGUCCGGGGCUGGUGCUUACCAGACUUUGAUGUGUAUGUGACCAAUGGGAGAGCUUGGUAGAAUGAAGAUUCUGAUUGAAUUAGUCUGCAGCUAGUUUCUGGAUUACUAACAAGGAUCAGUCUCCGCCUUCACCUAAGGUAGACAUAUGAAAUGAUAGAACUGGGCUUCAAACUUAAAUUUGCUCUAUUCCAGAGCCUUCACCCUAUCCUGUGGAAUCUCCUUGCACUCAACUAGUGGAACAGGCUUUUUGUGGAGUGAUCUAGUUAAUACUUUUUUUAGUAUAGUAAGAGUGUGAAGUUUUAUUUAUUUGUUCAGCAUUUACUUGGAACUUUUUGUGUUCUCACCCCCCCUCCCCCAUCUGAAAUCAAACCCAAGGCCUUGCCCAUGCUAGGUAAAUGCUUUACCACCAAGGUACACCCUCAGCUCUCAGUUAAUUCUUGACCCCCAUAUUUGGAAUUGAUGCCAGAGCCUUUACAUUGAGCAACAUCCUCACCUUGUUUUUAAAUUUAGCUUUUAGUUUUUAUUUUGAGACAGGUUUUUGCUGAGCUGCCAAGGCUGGGCUUGAAAUUGGGAUCCUUCUGUCCUAGCCUACUAGACUGCUGGGAUUAGAGGUGUGCACUGCUGUGCUUGACUGGAGUAACAAUUUGAGUUAAGAAUGGGUGCACCAGCAGGAAAUUUGGGUUACAUGCUCUUUGGGAACAAGUUACAGAUUUAUAACUCCCUCAUUAGUAGUUGCUACCAUUAAUAUAUCAGCUACCUAAGUAUAUUAAAGGUUAAAAAUUACUUUGUGCUGAAUACUUCUCAAGAUAGAAGAGAUGUAAUUGUAGCUUUGUAGUUUAGAAGCUAAUGUUGGUAAGACUAAUAAAUGUGCCUUGUUUAAAUCUGAGGAUCCUGUUCGUGAAGUAAUGAUGCUAAUCGUGAACACUGAGUCACCUUGCUCAACCCUGAGAUACAGUUACUGCUGCUCCCUUUGUACACUGAGGAUAUUAAGACACAAAGAAGCCAAACGACUUGCCCAAGUAAAUGAUUAAGGGUGAGAUUCAAACUCAUAAAUUCGUUCUCUGAUCAUUAGGAUUUAGGACUUAACAUAUUGUGAGGUCUUGAUUCUUGCAGGGGGAGGAGUACUUUUAGGGAAGGGAGUUCAGAAGCUGGAUGACUAUGAGACUGAGUACCACAUAUGUAGGCAGUUAGGUGUUGUGAGUUGCUAUUUUCUGUCAUUCUUCAACAUGUGGUUAUUUAGUACUGGAUUUUACAGUCUGGAUAAUGCUGCUGUUGAUUAUAUUGCUUCUGUUCUUUUAAACUGUUGUUACUGGUUCCUUUUCAGCAGCAAAAUGAAUUCUUAAUUGUAUUUGGGAGACUGCAGUCAGAUAUUUACCCUUGGGUGACUUCUGUUAACUAGUAUAUUCAUGGAUCAAUCUCCUUUGCCAUCCAGCCCGUGAAUACUGUUUAUUUGUUUGUUUGUUUUAAUGACAGGUGGUCUUGCUAUGUUGUAUUGGCUGGUCUUGAAAUAAUGUGUUCAGGCAAUCUUCCUGCUUCAGCCUCCUUAGUAACUGGGACUAUAGGCUUAUGCCAAUACACCAGAGAAUAUCUGUGUUGGUAUGUUUGUGACAGGGUCUCGAUAUGUAGUUCAGGCUGGCCUUAAACUUAUACUGAUCAUCUGGUGCCUCAGCUUCCCAAUUGCAGGGAUUACAGGUUGUGCCACCACCCCAGCAAUGUUUUUGAAGGAUUUAGACACAUGCAGUUCUUUUGUGAGAAAACUGAUUUUAUUUGCUAUAAUAGGAAAAGUAGUUAGGACUAAGGAGCUAUUUUAAAAUAUAAUAUACAUCUGAGAGAUACACUCAUCUCACAUCUUAUUUGUGGCAUAGAUUUAGAAAUAGAAAUACUUUUCAUUGUUGAGAUACAGAUAAGACAUUUUUGUCAUUUUAUAACAUGAUGCCAUGUCAAACUAAUUAUUGUUUUUAGCUUUUUCUGCAUAAAAUCUGGAGACAACCUACUUCAGUGAGAUCUGAUUGGCCGGUUAUGUCUUUGAGAGUGUUAACGAAAGGUGCUUCAUCUCUCUGUGAUUUUGAACAUGGCCCCUGGCCACAUGCAGGGUUUGUAUUAGAGAAAAAGGACAGUGAGUAGAGUAGAUUCUUGCGAAAUGAAUUACCUGUUGUUUUCCCCUUAGGUGACUUCAUCAGUAUUGGAAUUGCAUUGGCAAACAGUUUGAAAAAGAGCACUGGGCAAUUUGAGGUGCACAUGGCAGUGAGGCGAGUGGAUAGUGUUUCAAGUUUGACUUUGUUUCACUUGAGAAGCUUUAAUUACCAAUGUUGGUGAAAGCAUGAGGAAACAGGUCUGCUUAUGUGAUGGUAGUUGAAAAGUAACCGGAUGGAGAUACCCUUUUUGGGGACACUUAGGCUCUGUCUACUAAAAUUAGGUAACAUCUCUUUGGGUCUGAAGUUUUACUCCUAUCCAGGCAUGGGGUUGUGGCCUCUAAUUCUAGUGAGUUGGGUGAGGCAGGAGGCUUACAAGUUUGAGCCUAUCCUGGACAAUUUAGGGAGACUUUGUCUCAAAAUAAAAAGGACUAGGGGAUAUAGGUUAGUGGUAGGGUACCCUUGAGUUUGACUUCAGCACUGCAAAUAACCCUAUUCCACUUGUAGAAAUUGCAAACAGAUGAAGAAAAAUACCCGUAUACUGUGUGACAUUGUGAUGGGGUAGGGUAGCUACACAGUUGACAAUUGUCACUAAUGCAUGCUUAGUUUUUUUUUUUUUCCUGCAGUUUCUAUUUAAAUGCAUGCUUAGUUAAAUUAUGGUAAUUCAUUAUUAUGCAGACAUUAAGAGGAGGCUUAAAUCUUUAUGUACUCAUAAAAAAUAUCCUUCAUAUAUUGCACAGACAAAGACAUAUGGGAAACAGUACACAACUGUGUGUGAUGUGGUGCCAUGAAGAUGUGUAAAAUUCCUUAGCAGUUGGAGUGUCGGGCAGUGGGAGUGCAGGGACUAUAGGAUUAGGUGAUAGGAAGGCUGCUUUAAACUCCACUUACUUUAAAAUACAGUAAGAAAAGGCCCAAAGCUCAAUCUUUGUGUUGGAAGGCAUUUUCCUGCAUUUUUUAAAGGGGACCCUCUUCUGUACUCUUGCCUCUUGAUUGCAUGCCAGUGUAUCUCAAUCUUUGUCUGCAAAGGACUCUGUCACUUCUGCUUGUCCCCAGGAUGUAAAGAUGAGAGCGAAACCCAGUAGUUUUGUUAUCUUUUCAGUGCCUUCCUGCUUUCCUUCCAUCCACAUUUUCAUUUGUCUAGGUUUAUUUUCUCCCUUUUGUUAAAAACUUGGAUUUUUUUGGGGUAUUAUUCAAUUAUUUAGGAAGCACUCAUUGUGAGAAGUGUGGUUUUUAAUUUCCUUCCUGUAUCUCGUAGCAAUCCAGCUUUUCUUUUCUUUUUUUUUUUUUUUUUUUGUCUUUUUGCUUUUUAUCGGUACGGGGAUCGAACUCAUGACUGCCUGCUUGCAAGGUAGGCGCUUAUGCCACUGAGCUAAAUCCCCAGCCCACAUUUUCUUAAUAUUUGUAUAUAGGUAAUCUUGGAGCUUCUGUUUAAUUUAAAUUAUUAGGUUAAUAUCUAUAAAACUUAUCAUUUCCAUGUCUUAUAAUUGUACCUACCAGCCUGCAUCUUACUUUGUGUUAAUCAUUUCUGCUGGUCUUCAACUAGCAGUCCUUGUAGCAGGGCAAACUAGCUCCUCCCUGUUCUCUAUCACCUGUUCCUUGUAUGAGGUGGUAAAUAGAUCUGACACACUUGAGGUUGAAUCACAUUGCAACCUUUCACUUCACUGCUCAACUUUGCAGGGUUUUCUGCUUAUUUUCUUUUGUUACUUGAUUUUAUUGUUUGUUUGUUGGUAUGUAUGUAUGUAUGUAUGUAUGUAUGUAUGUAUUUUGAGACAGGGUCUCACUAUAUAGUUAAGGCUGGCCUUAAACUCACUGUGUAAUCCAGGUUCUCCUCAAACUUGCAGUGAUUCUUCUGUCUUAGCCUCCCAAGUGGUGGAAUCACAAUAUGCACCACCAUGUAUAAUAUUUUAUUUUAUUUUUGGUACCAGGGAUCGAACUCGUGACCUAGUGCUUGCUAGGCAGGCACUAAUGCCGCUGAACUAAAUCCCCAGCCCCAUGUAUAAUGUUUUAGCCACUUAAUAUUUGAUACCCACUGUCUCUAAUGAACAUGGAGUAGUAAAGGGAUCUGCAGGUUUUGAUCAUUUAUGUUCUGGAAAAGAACAGGAAGUGAUGAGGCCUUGUGAUUAGAGCUUUAGGGCAGUGUUUUCUAACUUGUCUAUAGGGACAAGAUAGUUAACUUGUCUCUACUAAUUGUAUGUGUGCUGUUUCUUUUUCCUCUGAACUUGUAGGCUUUUAUUUUUUAGGUUUAAAGACCUUGCUUUAAGAAAUUUUCCUUGAGAUUAUUUAAGUCAUGAAAUUAAGAUGGAACUUCUUUCUGAUCUCUAGAGACCCAACCUAGUAAUUAACCAGGAUAGGGAAGGAAAGGAAGAAGAUCCACAGAGUUACGGGCUUGUCUCUUCCAGUAAAUAGCUCCAACACUUCAUGGUAUGUUAAAUGUUCUAUAAGAUGAAGGGGUUGGCAGCAUAUGUAAGAUGUCUUUGUUCAUUUUCUGUGAUUCAUUGUUCAAACUUUGGUAAUCUUUUAUCUGCUAAAUGAGUACCAAUGCUUAUCUUUAUUUUUAACUACUGUUUUGCAGAUGUAGGGUACUAUAUAUGUCACUGUGGAGGGAAAUAUUUUCUGAAGAUCACUGCUUAUUAUGAAUGAUUUAAAAGGAUUUUCAAACACUUAGUUUCAUUCUAUUUUCAUUGGUAGAAUUGAAAUUGCAGUAUACUCCUUAAGUGUUAGCGUAAAAACCUUCCUAUUCUUGUUCCUAAGACUAUUGUGAUUUACAGACUGCUAGUUGGUAAAAGGGGGAAAAAAAGAAGUUAUGUUUUUAAAGAUUUUUCAGGGCAGACAUGGUGAUGCAUGCUGGUAAUCCCAGCACUCGGGCGGCUGAGGCAGAAGGAUCAUUGCAAGUUUUAAGACCAGCCUGUGCUACAAAGUGAGCUCAAGGCCAACCUGAACUGUGUAAUGAGACCCUGUCUCAAAAAGGCGGGGUGGGGUGGGUUUUUUAGGGGACAAGAACAUUGAAAAUACAAAUACCAAAUAUACUAGAUAAAUAUUCUAUCAAGCAGUAUUAUAAUACUAUUGUGAAGCUGCUUCAUGAUGAGCUUUGUCCAUUAGCACUAUGGCCGAUACAUCAGAGAAGCAUACAACUAUCAAGUAGGAUAUUUUAAAAUGGAUAUUUCCAUAAGGGUUUUGCAGAGGGCUACCCAUUUAUUUGCUGAUUUCUGUAGCAUUUAUGGUGAAAUCAUGUUUAUAUAUUGUCUGUGAACUGGAAGUUUUCAAGCUUAGUUGCUGUUGUCAUCCUUAUGAGUGGAAUGUUUGUUUUUCUUCUCUUCUGUCUUAAAGUCGUGUGGUUAGGUAGAUUGUACUUUGGAGUAACAGACUUCCCUCUUCUCUGCUGCUCAGGUGUUUUUUUUUUUUUUUUAUCCUUUUAGGACACUUUUUUUUCCUCUCUUUAUUACAACAAAAUUUAUACAUUUUGGGUUUUAUUGCUCCCAUAGAUCUUAUUACUUUUUUUGUAAGAGAAUAAAAUCAAACAUGAUAAAACAAACCUGUCAGUCAAAACCAAGGGUAGACAUAGCACAUGAUGUAAAAACAGAGUACAAAGUUAUCAACAGUGGUUACCAUAAUGCCUCUUGCUUCCUUAAGAAGAAUUGUCUAUCUCAUUAGGUAUUAUAAAGUUGAACAAAACAGUAGAAAACAAGUCUAAUAAAACCUAAACAUUGUCAACCUUACAGAACUUCAAAAGAGGAUAAUGUCAAACCAGAAUCGGCAUCAAGUGAAUCUUACUGCCUUCAAAGUAGUUGCCUAUACUCUGAUACUUAAUACUAUCAUACAGAGCAGAACAGAGUCUAAUCAGUCAAAACAAGAUAGUGGGAGUAUUACAGGACUUCAAAUCAUGUUAAUAGGAAAUCAAAAAAGUUACUAUAUCAGGUGGUUUUAUUUACCUCUACACUAAAGAUUCACAAAUCUGGAUUUCUGCUAGUGUCUCCCUUUCUUUCAGUAGCUGCUAUCUGACAGGCAACAGAGGCUGCAUGACAAUUCUGGCAACAUGUCACGUGGAACAUGUGCACAAUAUAGCAGAUGCAGAGCUCAUUAUUCUGGGGCUGGGGAUUUAGCUCAGUGGCAUAAGCGCCUGCCUUGCAAGCAGGCAGUCGUGAGUUCGAUCUCUGGUACCGAUAAAAAGGAAAAGGAAAAAGACAAAAAAAAAAAAAAAAAAAAGAGUUAAUUAUUCUGCCUCCAGGUAUAAAUAAUCAGUAAAGAUUUGUGUUGUCUAAGAAAGGUUUUUGUCGAUGUUCUCUUUUUGCUGUACUAGGGAUUGACCCCAGAGAGUGCUAAGCUACAUCCCCAGCUCUUUUUACUUAUUUUGGGAAAAGGUCUUAUUAAGUUGCCUAGGCUGGUCUUGAAUUUGGAAACCUUCUGCCUCAAUAUCCUAUGUAGCAAGCUGGGCAUGGUGGCACACUCCUGUAAUCCCAGUACUUGGGAGGCUGAGGCAGGAGGACUGAUGGAAGUUUGAGACUAGCCUGGGCUACAAAGUGAGCCCAGGGCUAGCAAGAAAAACAAGAACAAAAAAACCGCACAAGUUUCAAUGAAGUACCAGAUGUCCUGUCAUAAAAGUUUUUCUAAAUACUUCUAUUAGAUCAUUUGUUUAGAAUUUCAUCGUGAACUUGUUAAUGUUUCAUGUCUUGAGAUUCUUGCAGGUCUUUUCUUUUAGGGGGUCUAUUCUGUACAGAGUUUAGUUGUAUUCUGAGUUUUCAAAUUUUAAACCAUAGGCCUGACUAUCUACCACUUUUGGGGUUUUUGAUAGUGAAAACCAUGCUGAUAACCUUGUGCUUGUGAGGCAGGUACUGUGCUGCUGAGCUAUAACACCAGCCUGUUUACUUCUUUGACAGUGAGUAUAAGCUUUCCACAGAAGCAAGGUAGAGUCAAAUAUGUACAACCUUCUUUUCUACAAUAUUUUACAAAGCCAGGCGUGGUGGCACAUGCCUGUAUUCCCAGCAGUUGGAAGGCUGAGGCAGGAGGAUUGCUGUGAGUUUGAGGUCAGCGUCAACUAUAUAGCAAGACCCUGUCUCAAAAAAACCCCAAAAA